AACUCCAAGCAUGGUGGAAGGAAGUUGUAGAGAAGGGUCAUGCUGACUUAAAAGACAAGCCUUGGUGGCCUAAAAUGAAGACUCUUGAAGAGCUUAUUCAAUCAUGUUCCACCAUCAUAUGGAUUGCUUCAGCCUUUCAUGCAGCGGUUAACUUUGGACAAUAUCCUUAUGGUGGAUUUAUCCUCAACCGUCCAACUCUUAGCAGAAGAUUGAUCCCGGAAAAAGGAACACCAGAAUAUGAUGAGAUGGAGAAGAAUCCUGAAAAGGCUUAUCUAAGAACAAUUACACCUAAAUAUGAGACUCUUGUUGACCUUUCAGUGAUAGAGAUAUUAUCAAAACAUGCUUCAGACGAGGUCUACCUUGGACAGAGGGACAAUCCAAAUUGGACCUCUAACCGAAGGGCAAUAGAAGCCUUUAAAAGGUUUGGAGAAAAGCUAUCAGAGAUUGAGAAAAAUAUCUCAGAAAGGAACCAUGAUCCAAAUCUUAAAAAUCGAACUGGACCAGCUCAUUUGCCUUACACUGUGCUUCUUCCCACCAGUGAAAAGGGAUUGACUUUUAGAGGAAUUCCAAACAGUGUCUCUAUCUAAAUUUCUACAUGGUGGCUCCCUCUAGCAGUGUACUUGCAUUACGUAUUUGUUUUUUUUUUAAGAGUUUUCAUGUUAGAUAUUAUUGUAUUACGUAUUUGUUUAAGAAAUAUUGCAUUUAGUGGUUGUGGUUUUCUUAUUGGACUUUUUUACUAGUCUUGCUGAGUUACAUAUGUAUCAGACCUUCUAUGCUGAUCUUUGGCAUGCCUUAUGUUGAAGUUAAGCUCUUCUUUUAGUAAUAAAAGCAUUUUCUUGUUAAGAAAACUUGAAUUAUAUGUUACUCUCAUAUUUUUUUUAGCUGAGUUCUAUUCUUCUAUAUUGAUCAUUCUAAUCUUUGCAGCUACAGUGGGUGGCAACCGGCAAAACUCAUUUCGUGUGAUAACUUAUAAAUGCAAAACGUUUUUGAAGACAACAGAAAGAAAGCUAUUGGAAAAAAAAAAUCUAUGUUUUCCUUUAGAAGAAGAUAUUUGUUUGUACAAAGCCAAAUCCUAUUGAUACCUUUCCCUACAAGAAAAUCAUUAAAUAAAAAUUAAUUUUAGAGACAAAAAAUAAUUAAUUGGUAUAGUAAUAAAAUUAGAGAUUAAAAAUUAUUUUUUUUUAAAUUAAUUUUUAUUAUUAAUAAAUAGAUUCUAAAUUGGUAUCUAAUUAAUUACCAAAGUUUUUCUACCAAAUUUAGAAUCUAAAUAAUUGGUAGUUACUAGCUAAUUAAAUACUAAUUUAUAAAUUAUAUAUCUAUAAUAAAAACUAAUUUAGAAAUCAAUAAUUUUUUCACUCUAAAAUGAUUUCUAAUUUAGUCAUUAUAGUAAUUAAUUAUUUUUUAUUUUUAAAAUUAAUUUUUAUUUAAUGAUUUUUUUUUAGUAUUUGUUUUGCCACAUAACUUUAGGUGAAAAGAUUAUUACAUGGUCUCACAUAAUCAUAGUCAAGAUUUUGAACGAGAGAUUAAUUUUAUGAACAGGUGGUGUGGCCUCAGACCAUUGAUUAAUUUUAGGUGCUAUUGUAGUUUCAAAUGUUGUGUGGUGUUAAAACUGUGUUGCUGAUAGCAUAACAAAAUAGUGCAUAUGGUACAAAAGGAUACACUGGAACACCAUGAGAGUUGGUCACAAAAACCAUUAUCACAUAAGAAUUAAGUAAAUAAAUAAGGAUAAGUAUCUCAAUCCAUUUACAAAUAAAAGAUAGAUGUAAAUCUUAAAUCUGUCUAACAACUUAUAUUUUAUUAUGUUAAAAGAGAAUAACUUAUAGAAAGAUAAGGAAAUUGGGAGAAAUUUGAGUGUUUAUUGAAGAAUUAAAUUAGGUAUUAUAUAAUGUUACUGAAUAAACUGAAAAGAAGAAAUAAGAAGCUUUGUGAUGGAAGAACUAAGGCAGCAACCAACCACACACAAAACGAUAUCCAAAUAUAUAUUAUGAAAAAUGGUUCCAAUAAAUAAUUUAAAAAGACUGUUAUUGUUUUAUAUUUUUCCACUGAUUUUUCGUGUACCAUGAAUAAUCUUCAACUCAACCUUCCACUCAUCACUCAUUUAAUUGCACCUUCCUGCUAUGUGCCAAAUUGCCAUAGAAUAUAUAUAUAUAUAUAUAUAUAUAUAUUCUAUUUUUACUUUAAAAUUCAUUAUAUAAUUUAAUCAAUAAAUUUUAAAUAAACAACUUAUUAACUAUUUUAAUUCAAUAACUAUUACAUAAAGUUUUAAAAAAAUUAUAACAAAAAAUUAGAAAAAAAAACAAUCUAAUUGACAAAGCAUCAUGUCAAGCAACAAAUUCGAAAUCACUUGAAUUUCGAAAUUCAUUAGUUUGAAAGUUAAUCUUUGCUUCAAAAACAAUUUUAUCACAUUUUUUAAAGUCAUUUAAUAUAUAUAAAUUCUUCAAUCUCAAUUUAAAUUUUGUUGAUUUAUUUAACGUGUUUCUUUUUCACUAUUUUAUAAAAAAAUAUUAUAUAUAUAUAUAUAAAUUUACAUGUAAAUAAGAAAAUAAAAAAAAUACAAAACAAAUAAUAAUACAUAAGAAAUAAACGUGACCAUAUACCAAUAAUUAAAAAAGCUACACAUACUAAAAUAAAUAUAAACAAUACAUAAACAUAAAUAAUACACGUAAAUAAAUAAAUUAUUCAAGAAUAACCAAAAUUUUUCUUUUUUUCCAAGUUUUUUUUAUUUAUUUAUGUAAGAUUUUAUUUAAAUAGGACAUUAAAUAUUUUAAAUUUGUAUUUAUUUAAGAUUUUAAAUAAUUUAAUUUUUUUAUUUACGUAUGACAUUAAAUAUUUAAGUUUUAUUCUUUUAGCAAUUUUUGAAUAGUUUAGUAAUUUAAUUUAUUUUAGAUUUUUAUUUAAGUAGAACACUAAAUAAUUUAGAUUUUGUAUUUAUUUAGGAUUUUGAAAAUUUUAGAAAUUUAUUUAUUUUAGAUUAUUAUUUAAGUAGGAAAUACAAUAAUUUAGGACUUCAAAAAAUUUAAAAAUUUUAUAAACUUUAGAUUUUUGUUUUAGAAAGAAAUUAAAUAUUUUAGGAUUUUUUUUAACUUUUAAUUUUUUAUUUAAGAAUGACAUAAAAUUUUUCUCAUUCAUAUUAAUUUAGGAUUUUGAAAAAAUUAUUAUUUUAUUUAUUUUAGAUUUUUAUUUAAAUAUGACAUAAAAUAAUUUAAAAUUUUUAUUUUUUUUAAGAUUUUCAUUUAACUAUGACAUAAAAUAAGUUAAGAUUUUUAUUUAUUUAGGAUUUUGAAUAAUAUCGGAAUUUAAUUUAUUUCACAUUUUUACUUAAGUAGAUCAUUCAAUAAUUUAGGAUUUAUAUUUAUUUAGAUGUUUGAAGGAUUUUGAAAAUCUUAGAAUUUUUAAUUCUUUUAUAUUUUUAUUUAAGUAGAAAAUAAAAUAAUUUCAGAUUUUUUAUUUAAUUAGGAUUUUUACAAACUAUUGAAAUUUUAUUUAUUUGAUUUUUUUAUUUAUUUUUUAUGACAUAAAAUAAGUUAGGAUUUGUGUUUAUUUAGGAUUUUGAAUCUUUUAAAUUUUAUUAUUAUUAUUUAGUAUAAUUUAAAAAAUUAUUUAUUUCAGAUAUUUUAUUUAAGUAGGAUAUUUAAUAAUUUAAGAUUUGUAUUCACUUAAAAUUUUGAAUAAUUUAGGAAUUUUAUUUAUUGUAAAUCUUUGUUUAAAAAUGACAUUUAAUAAUUUAAGAAUUAUAUUUACUUAUAAUUUUAAAUAAUUUAGAUAUUUUAUUUUUUGAAUUUUUUCAUUUAAGUAUGAUAUUGAAUAAUUUAUAAUUUGUUAUUUUUUAAAAUUUGAAAUAAUUUAGGAAUUGUUAUUGAAAUUUUUUAUUUAAGUAUGAUAUUAAAUAAUUAAAAAAUUGUAUUUAUUUAGGAUUGUGAAUAAUUUAGAAAUUCGAUUUAUUUUAGAUUUUAUUUAACUAAAAUAUGAAAUUAUUUAGAUUUUGUAUCUAUUUAGGAUUUUAAAAUUUUAAAAAAAUAUUAUUUAUUUUAUAUUAUUAUUUAUAUAAAAAAUAAAAUAAUUUAGGAUUUGUAUUUAUUUAGAACUUAGAAAAACAUAGAAGUUUAAUUAAUUUAGAUUUUUAUAUAAGAAUGUCAUUAAAUAUAAUUUGAGAAUUUUAUUGAUUUUCAAUUUUUAUUUAAGAAUUAUAUUAAUUGUUUUGGGACUUAUAUUUAUUUAGGAUUUUUAAAACUUAUUGUACUGACUAGGGCGAAAGGUCAACCGAAAGGUUGUACCGAAAGUCUCGACCGAAAGGUUGUACCGAAAGUCUUAACCGAGAGGUUAAAUAUAAAAAGUAAAUAAGUAAAAUUAAAUUAGUGAUUAUAACAAAAUCCAUAAGAUGGGCCCAAAUAUACAAGUGUGUGUUUUCAAAAUGUUAGGUGCAAAAAGAAAAGACCCAAGUAACUCUUAAGCCCAAUAAGAGAGCCUUAUAAAUAGAGGUUCAACUCAAGAGGUAAGUGAGAUUUAAUUUAUCUGAUGAACAUAAAACUAUAUCUGACUUUGGCAUCGGAGCGCCUUGUAGGUACACACACCCACCUGUGAGGAGAAGAAGCCGAGAGCCCAACUCGAGUAGAAGCCGUGAGAGCCCAACCCGAGAAGAAGCCGAGAGCACCUAGCUAAAGGAGAAGCCGAGAGCAUCUNNNNNNNNNNNNNNNNNNNNNNNNNNNNNNNNNNNNNNNNNNNNNNNNNNNNNNNNNNNNNNNNNNNNNNNNNNNNNNNNNNNNNNNNNNNNNNNNNNNNGAGAAGCCGAGAGCAUCUAUCUUGAGGAGAAGCCUAGAGCACCCAAUGUGAGAAGAGACCGAGAGAGUCCAACCCAAAGUUCGGAAGAUUUGUAUAAGAGUUAAUCUUGUCAACCUGAUUCUAGUGUUCUUGGUCCUUGUUGUAAGAACACUUAUAAAUUUUAUUUACUUUUAAUUUUUAUUUAAGUAGAAAAUAAAAUAAUUUAAGAUUUUGUAUUUAUUUAGGAUUUUUAAAAACUUAAUUUUUUUAUUUAUUUGAUAUUUUUAUUUAAGAAUAACAUUAAAUUAUUUAGGAUAUGUAUUUAUUUAUAAUUUUGAAUAAUUUAAAAUUUUAAAAUGAUAGAAAUUUUAUUUAUUUUUGAUAUUUUUAUUUAAGUAUGGCAUAAAAUAAGUUAGGCACCGGAGAAAGCAAUGGCUUGUAGCUUGCAACCACAUACUACAUGAUAUCCAAAUAAUUUAAAAAGACUUGGGGUCAAGAAUUGUUGUUUUAUAUUUUUCCAUUGAUUUUUCGUCAAUCAUCAUAAUGUUCAACUCAUAUAUCUUCCUGCUUGGAUGAAAUAGACUAAAUAUAUAUCUUACCAAUUUCUCAUGACUCAUAACAAUAACGUAAUAAAAAUUAGAAUAUGAUAAUGAAAUGUCUUUAAUUUAGUGGUUAGAGGUAUCCUGGUUAGUGGUCCUAAGUUUAAGGGUGUGUUUGGAUUGGGAGGUGGAUGUGUGAGAAUUUGAGGAGUGGAUGUGUGAGUAUGUGAGAAGAAAGUGAAGUUGUUUGGAUUGAUGUAUGUUAGAGUGGAUGUGUGAGGAAAAUUUAUGGGAGUUUGUGAGUGAUGUAAUUGUUGUGAGGUUUUUUAAUUUUCUUAAAAAGUAUAAAAUAUAAGUUUACAAAUUUACCCUUGUAUUUAUAAAUAUUUAAAUAAUGAAAUAUGAUGUAUUUUUGUGUAAAUUUGAGUUAGUUGAAAUAUUUUAAAUUAUUUUUUGUACAAUUGAAUAAAUUAUUUGGAUACUAUUAAAUAAUUAUUUUUAAAAAAAUACGAGUUAUUUAAUAUUAUCGAAACACGAAAAAAAUCAUAAAAAUAAUAUUAUCUAAGCGUAUACAAAUUUAUUGUUAUAUUUAUUUAUACAUUUUGAAAGGUUUUUAUAUUCAUUGAUUUAGAUUUAGAUUGUAUGUAGUAGAUACAUAACCAUGUAGAUAUUUUAGAGGACAUUUUAUAAUAAAAAAUAUUAUAUAUAGAGUGAAUUGUACAACAAAUUUAUUUAUAAAGAAGAAAAAAUAUAUACAAUAAAGUAUGAAAUAUCAUAAUAUGAUAAUUAUGAUGGAAAAAUAAUAAAAAUAAAAAAUAUUAUUAUAUAUAUUAUUACAUUAAUGACAAAGAAAAAAAAAGGCCAAAAAGGAAAAACAUCACCAUCUUAGGUGACUUUCCCCUCAAAUCUCUGCAUAUGAGAAGGAUGAGAAAAAUCACUGUUCAUGGAUAUCCACUAUCUCUCUUCCCUGCACAUCCCUUGAUUCAAACCAUGGAUAUCCACUCACAUAUUUUCUCUUGAACAGUACAAUCCUUGAAACAAACAAAGCCUAAGUCUCACCUACAACAAAAUGGUAAUAAUAAUAUAUUGUAAUAAUUAGAAAUAAUAAUCGUAAAUGAUAAAUAAUAUUUUUAAUAUUAAUAAUAAUUAAUAACACUAAUAAUUACCGACAAAAUAUUUUAUUGAUAAAUUUACCGAUAGAAUAUUUUUCGUCAAUAAAUUUACCGACAAACAUAUUAUUUAUAAAUUUGUGUUUGUCGUUUUUUCAUCGAUAAUGCAUGCUUAGCGAUGGAUUUUUGGUCUUACCUAUGGAUUAGACAAUUGAUAAUAUGUUUUUUUGUAGUAUGUGAAACUUUUAUCAUUAGUCCAUUCAUUUCUCACUUUUAAACUGAAUAAUCUUAAAGUUGCUAACAAUAUUGUGAAGUUAUUGAAUACUGGAUAAUUGUUUCUCCAAAUCAAGCAUCAAAAAAUCAUACACAUGUAUUCUUCCAAAAAAAAUUUUACCACCAUCAUGUAUUAUUUCCUUUAAAUUAUCGUUUAUCCCUUUUUUAAUAUUUUUUAUCGUCAACAUAAUUUGAGUGACUAAUAUUUUUUCAUGUCGUAUACGUAUUGUAUAACUCUUAACAAUAUCAAAGAUAAAUCGAUGAUAAUUAUAAUAUCCCAACUAUUAUAUGAAUAAUUGUUAUUUAAUUCUUUGAUUUCUUGAAAUUAUAUCAUGCUUGUUAUGAUGUGUUGUUAUGAUUUGUUGUAAUUUUUUCUUUUGUUUGUAUUGUAUUCCUUUUCUAUCUUGUGAGUCAAGUGUUUUUUCAAGAAUGCAAAAGGAUAAGUGUGACGAUAUUUGAUGAGCAUAUAUUCACUCACACUUAAAUAGCUUUAAUCAUAGAUGUCUUUGACUAAAAUCAUGUAUAACUCUAUUAUUUUAAGUAAGAUUCAUCUAACUGGGUUUAUUUGGACCUUAACUGUUAUUUAUGAUAAUACUGUAUAUUUUAGUCGCAGUAGACGGUCCAAUGCUUCUUAGAGUACAUUGGAUGGUCUAAUAAGAGCGUUUGGUAAAGAGUUUUAAGGAAGUUUUUAUCUCUACAAGUGAGUCAAAUAUGCGAAAGUCCAAGUUGCUUCUUUGAAUCAAAAUGAGAAAAAAAAUCUUAGGGGAAGAAUUAGAGAAUAAAAUCUAAUAUAUCAUAAACAGAAUUGGAAGCAAAUAUUAUGCCAAAUACAAAGAAACAUAGUUCACGAUGAAAGUGAAAAUAAAAUUUAGGAAUUCUGAAAAGUUGAAAACUUAAAAAUCGAAGCAAUAUCUAAAUUGAAAUAUAUUUUUGAGAUCCUUGGAACAAAGAAACCUACAAAAGGAUGUAAGCUUCAAGGAGAAAGGGGAAAGCUUCAGAGCUUAACAUAAUGCAUUCGAAAAAUAGAGCAUUAGAGUUUUCUUAGAUUUUAUUUGUUUUUCUUUGUUAUAAUUCUUUUGUUUACCUUCAUAUGGAAGGUUAAACUCAUUCAUGUUGAUUCUCUUGUGAUUUUGCAAUGAAUUUUGAGAUUUGUAUUCAAUAAGAUUUUAUUCUUAUAUUCUAUGUAGCAAUUCGUGUAUAAAGGUUUGGUCUUUUUGAAUUUCGAUUUUUGUUAAAGAAUUGUCUUUGAACAAUUGUUAAGAAUUCUGUUAUUUUCUUUAAUUAGAGUUUUUGGUUAGUUUAUUUUAGGGAUGACAAUGCGUGACGAGUCAUGCGGGUUAGCCCAUAGUCCGCUACCAAAAACUGCGAGACGGGCUCACUAAUAUAGCCCGUUGAACCGUCCGCAUAACCUGUAGCGGGGCAGGGCGGGGCGGGUUGGCCCGCUGGCUCGCAUAAAUAAAAAAUAAUUAUUUUAUUUUUUUAGUAUAAAAAAAUCAUACCUCAUUCACCCAUUAUUGCAAUGACAUUUAUUUUAUUUAAUUUUUAAAAAAAUGAAUUUAAUGUACUAAAAAAAGAAUGUUUUAUUUUAAUCAUUUAAAAGAGUUAAUUUUUUUAUCAACAAUAAAAAAAACACUUUAGGGUUGAUCCAACCCAUGUACAAAAUUGCACAAAAACAAACAACCUCUCAUCCCAUAAGUUUGCCACUCACUUCCUGCUAGAACAAAUACAGUCUGACUAACCUAAAUAAAUCACUUAUGUUUAAUCGAAUACAUACAAACCAGGGGAUCUAGACACCAACAUAAAAGGAAAAACAAGAAGGGACUUUAGAGGUUACCCAGGGUCAGACUUUUAGUUGAGCCAUGGGGCUAGUAUGAAGAGUGACAGUGGAUUUAGUUUUAGGUAAAGUCUUAUAUUUAGAAUUUGUUAAUAAAAAAUAAUAUAAAGAAGAGAUUUCAAUAGGAUAGUUAAAAAAUUAGUCAUCUUCAUUAAAAUAUUCUUAUACAUUUACAUACAUAUAUAGAAAAAAUAGAUGCAAAGCAAAACUUUUAAUUAUUUUUAAUCAAACCUUUUAACAAUCCUCAUACUUGAAUUUAUAUUUUUAUCUUAAUUGAAUAAAUUGAAACAUGGAUAAAAUUUUAACUUUUCAGCAGUAGGAAUAAUUUUUUUAUAAUUAAUAAAAUUUUAAUUUUUGAAAAAAAAUAUUUUUCUUAUGCGGGCUGGCUCGCAGGCCUGCGGAUUACCUCUUAUGUGAGAUGGGUCAGUGAAAUGAGUCCGCACUCGUUGCAUGGGGCAUGCUAACACGGUCCGCAUUUUGUGGGCCAAACGCAGGACGGGCCUAUGCAGGACGAGCCAACUCGCAUUGUCACCCCUAGUUUAUUUAAUUAUAAUCAAUCUCUUGUUCAUUUAAACAUAAUACUUUCCACUACAAAAAAAUAUGUUUAUUAGGAUGGAUAAAAAACGAACAAUAUCUAAAAGAAACGGACGCAAAACUGUAAUUAUCUUCGGCUUAGCGUUUAUUCAAAUUUGGAAGCUAAUAUGUUUGACGUAAAAGUAGUCGGGGAUGCGUGAGACACUUUUUUGCGUAGACCUAGCCUACAUGGUUCGCACACAAAAUUAUAUUUUAUAUUUGUUUAUUAGAAAAAGCUAGGCUAAGCCAACGGUAUAACCACUCAAUUUUUAAAUAUGCGCGAGCUUAACUUUCACGUUGGCCACACAAAAUUAUAUUUAUAUUGUCCACUCAAAGAGGUGUGAACUUAGCCUACACAUUUGCCACAAAAUUUAAAAAAAAAGUGGACUUAGUCUACAUGUUACCCACACAAAAUUAUAUUUUAUGAACCAUACAAUUUUUAAACACACCGUGCUUAACUUACAUUAUUUAAAUAUAAAUUUUUUAAACAAACAUGACUAAACCUUCACAUGCCACACAAAAAUUAUAUUUUAUAUUUUUCUUUCUAGUCGACACUACACAUGCUAAGUUUUGUGACAAUAUUGGGCUUUGGUUUGCAUUUUAAAUAUUACAGUUAACAUAAAAAAGUUUAAAAUAUUGUGUUAUAGAAGUUUUAUAUUGGUAAAUAAAACUUGACUUACAUGUGUGAAAAUGACUCAAUGAGAACAUGCAAAAGGUGUAAUAUAUAUUAAAAUUUAUUUUGCAUGUACAGAAAUGCCGUCAAAUAAAUAAUAUAUAAAAUACACCUCUAAUGAUUUAGACACAAUAAUUUAUAAUUAAAUAAUGAUAUAAACAUUUCAGUACAUUUUAAUUAGGUUUGUAAACGAAUAAACCUUCUUCUUCAUGUAUAAAAGUGAAUUUUAAAACAUGAAACACUUCAUUUAAAAAUUAUGCUGUGGUGACAGAUAAUUUACCGCAAAUGAAAAUUUUAUUUAAUUUAUUAUCAUUAUUGCUAUUAUUUUUUUAUCAACAAAAAUACAUAAAUAAAAAGUGGAAUAUUUUCCAAAACUUACAAAUAGAAUCAAAAUUUUGAGUUGCUAUUAUUAUUUUUAAAAAAAUUAAAAUUUCGAAUUUUAACCUCAAUGGCAAACCAAACCAGAAAUUAUUUCUUUUUCAGCUUAUAAUCUCUUUUACGAAGCUUAUCCAAUUCGUCAAUCCAUAAAUCAAAAAAUAUAUUUUGGAUCCACCAAUUCAUAAGUUUAAAAAUACAUUCUAGAUUCACUAAUUCAUAAGUACAUUCUUGAUUUAUCAAUCCAUAGAUUUUGAAAAACUCACAUUCCAAAAAUCUAUAAACCCCAUAAAAAUACCUUUUCAAAUAAAAAUAACAAAAACAAUUUUAAAUUUUUUAAAAAUAUAAAAGUGUAGAAAGAAAUACCUAAAUUAUCCUAUAUGUAUCAUAUAUAUAUAUAUAUAUAUUUUAUUUUUUCUAAUUUUUUAUUAUUUUUUAUUUUUGUAAUUAUACAGUAAUUUCAGGUGUGUUGGAAUGCUAACAAUAAAGCAUCCUAACAUAAUUAGGGACAUUUAGAGGGUUUACAGGAUAAGUUAAGUUAGCUGGAAUUAUAGAAAGAGGAUGGUGAUGAAAACAUUACCAUAUAAAAACUAGUAUGAGUAAUAUAUAUAUAUUCGAUUAAUAUUAUGUGGAGUAUAAUUUGAGUUGAGGUGGUGAGUGAAUUCUGAAAUUACAGAAAUUUUACCAUAUUUAAAAGGGGUGUGAUGGACGUGUAUGAAGUGUUUGUUUUAGUACAAAUAAAUGUUUGAUCUUGAAUUUUAGUAAAAAUAAGUUUUGCUUUGUUUUUCUACUUUUAUUAAUGUUUGGAACUUUUGGUGUGUAUGCAGAUAAUUUUUUUAAGUUUUUUUGAAGGAUUUAUUUUAAUAGACUUUUAUUAUUUAGUCUGGUAAUAUUUGUUAGAUAUUAGUUUAUGUAUAAGAGUUGAAUCAUUCUCAAAAUGAUAUAUAUAUAUAUAUAUAUAUAUUUUACAUUUUUUUAUAGUUAAUAAAAAAGAUAAUUUAUUAAAUUUUGUCUGUUCAAAAUUGUCAGAGUCAGUGGUACCUUUCACUUGUAAAAAAAUGAAAUAGUAUAAUAAUUCUUGCGAAGACUUUCGCUAUAUAACGAGGCAGAGACCGGUUACAAAUCAAUAAUAAAUCAAUCAGUAGCAACAGCCCGGUCCACAAUCUGAAUACAAGAAAAAUAAUAUGAAUUCAGUUUAUUAUUUUAAAAAAUUGUUAUAAUCUAUAGUAACGUAUAAUAGAUAUUUUUAUUUAUUUAGUUGUAACUUUUAAUUAUAUUUUGAAAUUACAAUAUUUUAAAUCAAAUAACUGUCUUAAAAUAACACAAUAAUAAAAGAAAACUAAUAAAUAUAAAUUACAUAUUCAUUAAGAAUAAUUAUAUACAUUUCGAUCAUUCUAUUAUAUAUUAGAAUACAUAAUUUAAAGAGUGAAGUUUAUUUUGCAUUCUCUUUUGACAUCAAAUAACAUUAUUUAUAUUCCUUCUACUUUGAGGCCAACUUUUACCAAAACAAUGAGAAUAAAACAUAGAUUAAAUUUAUAAAUGUUAAUUUUGUAUCUUGAUUUGAGAUACUGAUUAAAUUAAUAUAUAAACAUUUUGAAAAAAUAUAUAUUUAAAAAAUAAUAAACAGUUGACCAUAUUAAAAUAACUUGAUAAAAAAAUGUAAUUUCACAAAGUUGAAUAAAAUUAUUUUCUGAUAAAAUGAAGUGAAACAAGUUGGUGAGACAUGGCCCCAUAUCAUUCAUUCUCCCAACAAGAAAGGGGUUCUUAAAUUACGAAGGACAAAGUUUUAUAAAUGCUGAGGAAAACACUCUCAGAUCACACUCAUACCAAGAAAUGUCUCACCUUCAAAAUUAAUUAUAUGUUUUGCAAGAAAAUAAAUAACCAAUUUAUUUAAGAAGUUUUGAAUUUAACUUUCAAAGAAUAAAAUAAUUAUUUUAAUAUUAUUUAAUUAUGUAAAAAAAAGUUCUAUCUUUCCAUGUAAUUACUAAAUUUAAUAAAUUUAUUUUGUUAUUAACAUGUUUUAUUAUAAUAAAAGUUGUGUUUUAAUUUAUUGAUGGUAACUUAUGUCUUAUCGUAUUUAUAUUUUGUUUGUACUGUUUCACAUGUUCUUUGGAUACAUUGUUUGUCACCAUGCAAACAUGUAAUUUCACAGUCAAACUGCAUUAUUUCUGAAACCAAUUUGUCCUCAAACACGUUAAUGUUGAUAAGUGAAAACAAGAACAUGACAUUUGUAACGUUAUGGGACUCUUCUUUUUCUUUUUACAAAAAUUUAUUUAUUUUUUAUUUUUUUAUAUUUUCAUGUAAAAUUAAUUUUUUUUUUCAAACUUGAAUAUUUUGAACAUUUCUAGUAAAAACACUAUAGGAAUAAGCUUCUGUCAAAAAUUUAAGUGACGAAAUUUCUAAUAUAAAUUAAGAUGCUGUUUGUUGAUUUAUUAUUAAUAUGAAUAUUAUAACAUUAUAUUAUAAUUCAAAUUGAAGAUUAUUUGUUACAUUAAAAUUUAGAAUUUGAACUAAAUACGAAAACGUUAUAGUACAUGAACCAAAAGAUAACCCAUAAUUAUUUUCAAUAGAAGAGAAUUAUGAAAGGAGUUUUAAGUUAGUUUUUACUAUAUUGUUUUUAAGAUUUUUUUUUCAAAGUAAGAGUUUAAUAAACUUAUAUUUUAAUAAUUUCUAUUUAUUGACGGAUAAAAAUAUAUAUUAUUUUAAAAUAGUUUUUGUUCUUGUGAUUUAGAUAUUUUUAAAUUUUUCUUUACAAAAUAUGUCGUUAUAUGAAAACAGUAAAAUUGAUUAAAUAGAAUAUUUUUUAUAAUCACUAAAAAAUUAUUAAAUAAAAAUUAAUUUUAUAGACUAAAUAAUUAAUUCUAAAAUUAACUAAAUUAGAUGAGAUUAAAAAAUUUAUUGAUUUUUAAAUUAUUUGUUAUUAUUAAUAAAUAUUUUUUAAAUUAAUAAUUAAUUAAAUAUUAAAUUAGGAGCUAUUUAUUAAUAAUAUAAAAUAAUUUAAAAAUUAAUAAUUUUUAGAUUUUUUAAAAUAAUAUUUAAUUUAGUAAUGAAUGGUUGGAUAAGAUUUAUGUGGAAACACGUAAUAUCCACACACUAUUUCAGCAUAUGAUAAAUAUUAUUGUUGUUUUUCCCUCUGACUUUCCUGUCUUUGUUCACAAACGUAUUAAUGAAAAACGCAUAUGAUAAACGCAUUAUGUACGGAUAUUACCCACAGAUUCUGAAUCCGUAGGUAAAUUCAGCAUUACCUACUAACUAUUACUCAUGAAUCUUAUUACCUACCAAUUUUUACCUAUGGAUCUCUAUUACGUACAACUAUUACUCACGAAUCUUUAUUACAUACGAACUAUCACCCACAAAUCUCUAUUAUCUACCAACUAUUUUCAUAAUAAUUAAUAUAUACAUAAUAUUAAAAAUAAAUAUUAUUAUAAUAUAUAUAAUUAUAAAAUCAUAAUUAAUAUUCAUAAAUAAUAAUAAUCAUAACUAAUAAGUAUACAUAUUAUUAAUACUAUAAAAUUAAUAAUAUUAAUAUAAAUAAUAUAAUUAGUAUUAUAUUAAUAAUAUUAGUAAUAUUAAUAGUAUUAAUGAUAUUAAUAAUAUAACAACAUUAAUAAUAUUUAAUAAUACUUAUAAUAUUAAUAAUAUUUAAUAAUACUUAUAAUAUUAAUAAUAUUUAAUAAUACUUAUAAUAUUAAUAAUAUUUAAUAAUACUUAUAAUAUUAAUAAUAUUUAAUAAUAGUAAUAAUAUUUAAUAAUAAUAAUAAUAAUAUUUAAUAAUAAUAAUAUUUAAUAAUACUUAUAAUAUUUAAUAAUAUUAAAUGUAAUUAUAUUUAAUAAUAAUAAUGAUAUUAAAUAUAUAAAUAAUGUUAUUAAUUUUUAUUUUAUUAAUUAUAUUAAUAUUUAUAAUCAUAUAAUAAGGAUAAUAAUAAUAAUCAUAAAAUAACAACAAAAUUUCACUGAUAUAAUUAUUAAAACUUCUUUAGACAUUUUUCAAAGAACUUGAAUCCAAAUCUCAUUUACUAAAAUUUGGUUCUAACUUUUAUUAUUAUUUUCAUAACAUAAAGAAAAUUCAAAUAAUAAUUAAAACAUUAGAUUUCACGUGUAAAUGCAAAAAAGAUAUAUGUAGUACCAAUAAUAGUGAAUUCUCACGAGUCAGAUCCAUAUUAAUGCUAAAGCAAAAUUUAUGUAGUACCAAAAGUUCUGAAUUCUCACAUGAGUCAUGAUCCACAUUUAAUACGUAAGGUACUAGUCACACUCAAAACUACUUUUGUUGUCUAUCAAUUUUAACUCUUUUUUUUUAAAUAUAUUAUCACGAUUUUCAUAAUCUUAGCAUAAUUAAAUACCUUAUAAUAAAUUUAGGGUAAAUUGUAUGGUAAAGAAUUAGACUUAUGAUAAUGUUAACUUUUACUUUUACUUUAGUCAUUUUUUCUGUAUUAACAUAAUAAAUUCCUUUUUAACUUUUAACUUACUGAGUUUCUUUUUUUUUUAUUUAUUUUCUUUUGUAAAUAAUUGGAUUUUGAUUACUACCAUAUAAUUAUACCACUAUAAUCUUAGUUAAAUUUUGUCUAACCAUUGAACAUAAUGUGUGAAAGAGGAAAUGAAAGGUUAAAGGAUGAAUUUUCAAAAGAUUAUGAAUUGAACCUCAUGAAGUCAGAGAGAAAAACUGGUGAAAAGGUUGGGUAUCAUACUAUGUAGCACAAACACUGAUACGAACAUUGAUACGACACAAACACAUAUACAACACGGACACGGAUAUGGAGAUACGUAAAAUCUCUAAAAUGUAGGACACGGGGACACGAAUUUAUAUAUUAUAUAAUUAUAAAUUAUAUAAAUUGACAAUAAAUAUUUAUGUGCACAAGUAUGUUUCAAAUUAUUUUUUGGAGCAAAAAGAUGUUUUUCACGACUAGUUCACAAGGAUUUGUUUCUUAUUUUUAUAAUCAUAAUAACAAUUUAUACAAUAAAAUUUGAAAUUUGAGAAAAUUAUUGUAUUUUUCUUUUUGAAAAUUGUGUUAGAUCCAUACUAGAAUUGUCAGAAAUCUAAAAAAAUACUUUUUGAAUUAGACACUUCACGGAUACGUGUCCUACAGGUGUCAUACGAGUGUUGGUGUCCGAUACGAGUAUCAGACAUCGACACGUCAUUCAAGAGGAGUGUCCGAGCUUCAUAGGUGCCAUAUCAUUUGCAUUGAGCAAUAAUUAGGCAGAAGGCUACUCAUGGUGAUUUCAUCAACAUGGAUUGAUUUAUGUUAAGUGUAAGAUGGACCGAGAACUAUUUCUGAUUAUUGCGUCGUCCAAUGUGCAAUAUCGUGUUGGGCGCUGCUUUUACUGACGUGACAACCUAAGCUUAUUUCUUCCUUUUCCUUCGAGUGAAGAGGAGGUUUUUUGGUUUUGGAAGAGAAAAAAAGACACAUUUUGGAUUAACAAAUUUUGAUUAAACCAAAACAACUCAUUCAACCAUCCAAAACCAAAGUACGUAUAAAUUGAAGAUGGAGUUUGGCCUAAGACAAUAAAUGGAACUGAAAUAAAAAUAAAUAAAAAUAAAUUCUCCAUUCAUUGUUGCGAGAUCAAGAGAAGAGAAAGAUGGAAGCUACAUGGGAGGAGAACAUGCCGCAAAGAGGAGGGAGGAGCCGGCAAAGUGGAGGGAGGGACCAAUAGAGCGGAGGGAGGGACCAAGGAAGGUGGCGGCGGAGAGAGGAAGCGACGAAGGAGGGAGUUGUGCAGAGAGAAAAAAUUAGGUUUUGAAUUUGGAGAGUUUUUUUUUUAUUUUGAGAAAAACUGACCAAGGGAGACAAAGUUGACAUUUAUUAAUAAUUUUGCUUUGACUCAGACUGAUGUAAAACAACGUUAAAGCUUGACACAUAACUUGUGUCGGCUAGACCGAUGCAUGCCCAACAACGACUAUAGUGUCCGCUAGACCGACACAUAUCUCUACUUUUAUUUAAUUUAUGAACUAAAAUUACAUGUAAAUAUAAUUUAUUAACAAGAAUUUUCAAAAUAAUUAAUUUAUUUCUCUUUGUAUCGACCAAACUAAUGCACAACAAACACAAUUUUGCGUGAGUCAAGCCAACGUAAAAUGAACGCAGUUUGUGUGGGUCAAGCCGACGCAAAAGUUAUGACAAAAAACUUUGCAUUGGCUAGAUCGACAAUUUUUUUUUCUCUUCCACUUUCUCUUAGUGUCUACCAUGCGUCAGAUACCCACACAACAUUUCUUUUGCGUUCGCCUAUCGUGAGUUUGACCAACGCAAUUUGUGCCUUCCUCUUAAUCGACAAAACUCUUACGUAACUAAUCUUUCGUUUUCUUAGAUUUAGCUACUCAGUUUACUUACUUCCUCUAAUGCAUGUUGUCUCUUUAAAAUCACUUCAUCGAUCUUAUAUUUUCUAAGGAAUUAUAUACUAAUGUAGCAUCUCAUAUAUUACAUCAAUUUUAAUAAAAACCAACCUAAUAUAUAGGAGAUUUUUUAGGAGUGCUCACUUGUGCCCUUUCUUCUUUACAUUAACAUUAGUGCAUGUUUUUAUCCUUGUCUUUUCACCCUCACCUUUGUUUUCCACCUCAUUUCUCCUCCUUUCACCAUGCUCCUUCCUUUAUGCUUAGGCUACCAUCCCCAAACAUAAGUGUCACCACUAUACGAAGUGUUCGUCAUGUGAAGGCCGAUAUCACCACCAUAUAAAUUUUUUAGAAAUGCAACAAUCUUAUAUUUUCCAAGGAAUAAAUGACACAUUUGAGAGUUUAUACAUCAUCUACACCCAAGUCUUCAUUUUAGCUAUACAAAAUAUUUCAUACACACCCACUCUUCCAUUNNNNNNNNNNNNNNNNNNNNNNNNNNNNNNNNNNNNNNNNNNNNNNNNNNNNNNNNNNNNNNNNNNNNNNNNNNNNNNNNNNNNNNNNNNNNNNNNNNNNNNNNNNNNNNNNNNNNNNNNNNNNNNNNNNNNNNNNNNNNNNNNNNNNNNNNNNNNNNNNNNNNNNNNNNNNNNNNNNNNNNNNNNNNNNNNNNNNNNNNNNNNNNNNNNNNNNNNNNNNNNNNNNNNNNNGUAUUUCCAUUAUUAUCCUUUGGAUCCAUAGUCAUAAAUGCAGUGUACGAACGUUUGUAUAUUUGUCCCUCCAUGAAUUCUUUACAAAAUCUCAACCAAUACGAGAGCAGUUUACCUGUAUGCACAGGGAGGAGGAAAAUAUGUGUGAAAAAUUAGAGAUAAUUCAGCACUGAGUUGAAGGACUUCACAUUUACCUAUAAAUACCUUCCUCUAGAGUAGCCACAAGGCACAAGCAUUAAGGUGCAAAACCUCUCCCACCCAAAGAAGAGUGUGCUGUGUUUGAGAAGCUAGCAAAAAUGUUUGGGAUCUUGAACAGGGGUCACAAGAUAAAGGGCACGGUGGUGUUGAUGACCAAGAAUGUGUUUGACUUCAAUGAAUUUGUGUCAACCACUAGGGGUGGAAUAGUUGGUGCUGCAGGUGGUCUUUUCGGUGCUGCCACUGACAUAGUUGGAGGCAUAGUUGACGGUGCCACUGCCAUCUUCAGCCGUAACAUUGCCAUUCAGUUGAUCAGUGCAACCAAAACUGAUGGUUUGUUUCUCUAUCUUCUACUUCUUUCAACAUCUCAACAACACCUGCAAAAAACUUAACCUAACUCUGAUGGUUUGCAUUAUCUUUUAUAAUAAUUAGCUUGAAAAAAAUGUUCAUUUUCUUUUAUGAAUAAAUAAAAUGAUACUCCAACUUUGUAAUUAUGACCAUUUAUAAUGAAAUGAAAAAUAUAAAUAUAUUUUAUAUAGAUAUAUAACUAUUAGAUUCUUCUUAUGAAUAUAUAUACAUAAAUUCAUGCAAAUAAUAAGAGGUAUAUCUUUUAUCAUAGUUUCUCAUGAGAUUACACUUUUGACAAUAAUUAUGUUUAAUAUACACUAUACAAAAUAUUCUCAUUUAAUAUAUACUCGAAGUAACUUUGUUUUUUUAACUCACUGGAAGUGACUUUCAUUAGUGUAUUUGUCUUUCUAAAAAUAUAAAGAUUCAUAGUAGACGUUCGCAGUAUUUUGUGAUAUAGAUUACGGUAAAAAAAAAGAGAAAAAAAUAAUAAUAAUGAAAACGGAUAGAAAUAGCAAAGAGAUACAAUAAAAUACGGAAAAAAAUGAAUAUCUAUAUUUUUUUAUAAAUAAAUGUUAUAGUAUAGGUAUUAAAAGUAAAUUUAUGUUAAUUAUAUUACAACAGUAAAUAAUUUAACAGCACAAAAAUAUUUAAUAUAUAUUUCCAGUUUAUAUUAAUAUUAAUAUUAUUAUAAAUAUUAGUGUAGAGUAGGAGCAUGGUGUAAUUAUGCUUAAUUAUUAUGUUUAAAAUAUGAAUCCAAUCUGAAAAAAAAUAUCGUUUAAAUGAUUCAGUUUUUAUUGGAGCAUCCUUAAAUAAUUAGAUCAUAUUCAAAAUAUAUUAUAUAUCAUUGAUGUAUUUUAUUAUUAAGACAAAUCAAACUUUCUUUUAUGUAUAAUUAUAUAUACAGAUAUUGUAAAAAUAUAUAGAAUAGUGUAAGAAUAAGAUCAAAAUCAAUAUAUGCAAUUUUGGCAUUUAACUUAAAAAAGAAUUAUGUAUUGCACACCAAUUUUAGCUAUGCACAACUAAGAAAUUGGAAUAAUCAUUGUUGAUAUAAAUGCUACGAAUUAUGGUUCUAACAUAACCACUAAACUAUUGCAAAGUGCAUCACUUACACAUGCAGAAUCUGUAUACUUUUUUCAGGGCUUGGAAAUGGAAAGGUUGGAAAGCAAACCUUUUUGGAGAAACAUCUUCCUUCGUUACCAAACUUGGGAGAUAGACAAGAUGCAUUCAAUGUUUAUUUUGAAUGGGAUGAGAAUUUUGGAAUUCCAGAAGCAUUUUACAUCAAAAACUUUAUGCAAUCUGAGUUUUUUCUUGUGAGUCUCACUCUUGAAGACAUUCCCAAUCAUGGAACCAUUCACUUUGUUUGCAAUUCAUGGGUCUACAACGCUAAGUCUUACAAAAGGGAUCGCAUUUUCUUUGCUAAUAAGGUAAGUAACUUUCUACCUACCAAAGCAAGCAACUUAUGAAAUUCAAAAUUUUCCCUUAACUUUCAUAUAAUUUAGCUAGCUCAUUUUCUUCCCACUGUGUAAAUGAAAAACAUGGUUAAAUGUGUUGCAGACAUAUCUUCCAAAUGAAACUCCAGCUUCACUGGUAAAGUACAGAAAAGAAGAGUUGGAAAAUCUUAGAGGAGAUGGAACGGGGGAGCGCAAGGAAUAUGACAGGAUCUAUGAUUAUGAUGUUUAUAAUGAUUUGGGCAACCCAGACAAGAACAAGAAUUUAGCUCGUACUACUCUUGGAGGGUCUAGUGACUUUCCCUACCCUCGCAGGGGAAGAACUGGUAGAAAAUCAACAAGGAAAGGUUAGGAUUAUGUUUUCUAUUUUCAACAAAAUGUUUCAUAUGUUUUUGGUAACAUAUGUAGAGAUGUUGUGCAUUAUGACAUAUAAAUUCAUUUUGUUUUUGAAAACUGUGGUGAGUUCUCACUGCUGUUACUAAUUUCAAUUUUGUUUAACUUUUAAUAGACCCUAAGUGUGAGAUACCAACCAGUGACACCUACAUUCCAAGAGAUGAAAACUUUGGUCAUUUGAAGUCAGGAGACUUUCUUACCUAUGCAAUAAAGUCCUUAACUCAAAAUGUGUUACCUACAUUUCAAAAGGCAUUUGGUUUCAACAAUGAGUUUGAUACCUUUGAAGACGUGCGUGGACUCUUUGAAGGUGGACUUUAUCUCCCCACAGAUGUAAUCAGCAAAAUUAGCCCCAUACCAGUGCUUAAGGAAAUCCUCCGCACUGAUGGUGAGCAAGUCCUCAAGUUUCCACCACCUCACGUCAUCAGAGGUAUUGUGUAUAUGCUUGUUAUUAUAUUACAUAUCUUAAGUAAAAUAAACACUGAGUGCAUGCUAAUUAAUACUUGACUUUGUUUCUGUCAUGUUUAACGUUUCUAUGUUUUCCAAAUGAUUUGGAGCAGUUACUAAGUCCGCAUGGAUGACUGAUGAAGAAUUUGGAAGAGAGAUGCUUGCUGGUGUUAAUCCUUGCCUAAUUCAACGCCUUCAAGUAAGCAGUGCUUUUAUUGUUGGUUUAGUAACUAAGAAGAAAUUUGGUUUCUAUGUUGGAUUAUAUUCAUUGAAUCAUUGUUAAUGCUGUUUAACGAAUGGUAGGAGUUCCCUCCAAAAAGCAAGCUAGAUGUUACGGUGUAUGGUGAUCAAACUAGUACAAUGACCAAAGAACACUUGGAGAUCAACCUUGGUGGACUCACUGUGGAAGAGGUGAGUGAUACAAAUAUCAUAACAAAGUGACACAUCAAUACCAAAUUAAUCAUGACACUAAAUGAUCAUGUCAUGAUUAUAUUUUUGUGCAACAGGCACUGCAUGGUAACAGAUUGUUCAUAUUAGAUCAUCAUGAUGCAUUCAUACCAUAUUUGGAAAGGAUCAAUGACCUUCCCACUGCAAAGUGUUAUGCCACAAGAACUAUCCUUUUCUUGAAAGAUGACAACACUUUGAAGCCACUAGCCAUUGAAUUAAGUUUGCCAAAUCCUGGGGGAAAGGGUGCCAAUAGUAGAGUAAUCUUGCCUGCAGAUGAAGGUGCUGAAAGCACAAUUUGGCUACUUGCAAAGGCUUAUGUUGUUGUAAAUGACUCCUGCUACCAUCAACUCAUGAGCCAUUGGUAUUAAAAAAUUUGCCUCUGUCAUCACACAAAAACUUAUCUAUUUUGAAUUUGAGAAGUGAUUUUUUAUUUGUUCGUGAUCUCAGGUUGAAUACUCAUGCCGUAAUGGAACCGUUUGUGAUAGCAACAAACAGACAUUUGAGUGUGCUCCACCCUAUUUAUAAACUUCUGUUGCCUCAUUAUCGUGACACUAUGAAUAUCAAUGCACUUGCACGACAGUCGCUUAUCAAUGCAGGUGGUGUCAUUGAGCGAUCAUUUUUGCCAGGCGAAUUCGCUGUAGAGAUGUCCUCAGCAGUUUACAAGAGUUGGGUUUUCACUGAUCAAGCCCUUCCAGCAGAUCUUAUCAAGAGGUAAUGUUUAUACACAUAGAUUGCUAUAUACAAUUUUCAAGUUAGAAUUUUCAUUUUUGAUACCAAAGUCCUUUGUAUUAUUCACCCUUGAUUCAGAGGAAUGGCAGUUGAGGAUCCAUCCUCUCCAUAUGGCCUUCGCCUUGUGGUAGAGGACUACCCUUAUGCUGUUGAUGGACUAGAAAUAUGGGAUACUAUUCAGACCUGGGUUAAAGACUAUGUCUCCUUGUACUAUCCCACAAAUGAUGCAGUUAAGAAAGACACUGAACUCCAAGCUUGGUGGAAAGAAGCUGUUGAGAAAGGUCACGGUGACUUGAAAGAUAAGCCAUGGUGGCCAAAGUUGAACACUCCUCAAGAUCUGAUUCACACUUGCUCCAUUAUUAUAUGGAUUGCUUCAGCUCUUCAUGCAGCUGUGAAUUUUGGACAAUAUCCUUACGGUGGUUUCAUCCUAAAUCGUCCAACUAUAACCAGAAGAUUGCUGCCUGAACCAGGAACCAAAGAAUAUGGUGAGCUCACCAGCAAUUAUCAAAAGGCUUAUUUGAGAACAAUUACAGGGAAGGUUGAGGCCAUUGUGGACCUUUCAGUGAUAGAGAUAUUGUCAAGACAUGCUUCUGAUGAGGUCUAUCUUGGACAGAGGGACAAUCCAAAUUGGACUAAUAACAUAAAAGCACUUCAAGCAUUUAAGAGGUUUGGACAAAAGCUGAAGGAAAUUGAAGAAAAAAUCAUGGGGAGGAACAAAGAUUCAAGUCUUAGAAACCGUAAUGGACCAGUUCAGAUGCCCUACACUGUGCUUCUUCCUACCUGUGAAGAUGAAGGCCUCACUUUUAGAGGAAUUCCCAACAGCAUCUCAAUCUAAUGAGUUUCUCUACGUGUUGUUCUCUUUGCAAUCCUACCUUUUUAAUCACAAAUAAAUAUGCAGGCUUAUCCACCUAUGCAUAACUGUCUUCUAUAUCUAUGCUUAAGUGUUGUAUGUGGAUUUUAUCUAGUUUUCGUAUUUAGUACUAUGUUAUCAUUUAGUUACUAUCAUGUUGUGAAGUUUGAUAUCCGACCUAUGAAUAUCAAAUAUAAUAUAACUGGGGUUUUCAAGUGGAGCUGUUACAUAUCAUGACUUUGAAUUGGUACCUAAAUGAGUCCCAUAAAACUUUUCUAUCCUACCAUUACAAGAAUAAGAUUAGUGUUUUUUCAUUAUUACUGCAUGAACAGUCAUGCAGGAGUACAGAUAAAUAUGUUUUGAAAAAUUGAAUUGCCCCAUAUCAAAUACAAUUUUACCUGUGCUCAGAUUACUGCUAUUUUAGAGUUGAUCUUACGUUUGGAAAAUGAUACUUUUUUUUUAUGUUUUAACGAUCUACACAUUGGCUAAUUAAUUGGUGUGUUUUUCCACCAAACAUGUUCAUCUUAAUCUUUGAGUUUAUCAUUGGAUUGAUCAUAUCUAGUGUGAGUAUAUGUGGUCAAGUCCAAUCAUGUGGUGAAACUAUUUUAAUGUCGAUCUUUAGAGUUAACGAAAAAAUCUCAUUUAUUUCUCAUUAAGACGGGUGUUAAUUAUGAAGAUUGACUAUAUAUAUAUAUAUGCGGAAUUGUAAUUAAUUUGGGAAUAUAGUUCAAAAUAAGACUAAAUACAAGGAGAAGGGAUGAAGACUUUUUUAACUCAUAUUUUACACUAUACUCAAUAUAUUUUGAUACUCUUACUGACUUAGCGAGCAUCAGAAUAUUUUCUACAAGUAGAAUCCCCUCAUUUUCUUAGAGUCAAUUCAUGAAACUUGCAAGGAUAUCAUCCGGUAACCAUCUCAGAGUUUAAUCGACCUCAGCUACUGGUUGAGAGAUAUCCAUUUUCACUAGAACAAUUAGUAUAUUUUAUUAAAUUAAAAACACCUCAUUAUUAUUAUUAUACUUUUAAAAUUAAUACUUAUUAUUAUUCCUUUAAAAUUAAUAUUUAUUAUUAUUUAAAAAUUAAUACUUAUUAUUAUUAUUACUUUAAAAUUAAUAUUUUAUUAUUAAUAUUGUUAUUGUUAUUUUUCCUUUAAGUCUUAAAAAAAUAUUUAUAAAUAAUAUAAUUAUAAUACAUUGUGUCUAAAAAAUAUUACCAUAUAAAUAUUUAGAUAUUGCAUUUUGAAUUGAAAGUGAUGAGAUAAUACAUUGAUUCACGAUUCACGAUUUAUUGGUACUGAAAACUCAACAUUGACUUAGAACUGAAAGGAGUGUACCAAUAUGAAAGGAGUGUACCAAUACAUAAGAGACUCAUAUUAAAGAAAUAUUGUUAGAAAUUCAUAAGUUUUAAUCACACAUUUAAUAGAAUAAAAAAAUUGAACAACAUAUAAAGAAAGAGAUUGACAAACAUAUUGUUUUUAAAAAAUUUAUUAACCCUAAACCCUAAACAUCUUAUUGAGUUGACAUCCUUGGUUUAGCAUGUCUCUUUCGUAUGUAUUCCUCUAAAAAAUUUAAUAAUUAUAAGAUAAUUUUUUCUAUUCAUAUAAUUUUGUUUUACAAAAAUAACUAUUUUACAUCAAUCUUAAAUAACUCCAUCUUCUCAAAAUAGUUUCUUUUCAAAGUAGUGUGUGCCUUCUCAAAUAAAUUUCCAAAUAUACUUUAUUAAUUUAAAUGUCUCCAUUUUUACUUUUCCCUUUGUUAUUCUAAAAUCAUCUGCAAACACAAAAGUGGAGUCAAACCAAAUCAUCUGUUUAAAACCAAAACUGUAACUAUAUAUUAUUUUUAGUGAAUAUAAAUUGUAAAUUGGUAUGAAGAAGCUAAAUAGGAUAUGGACUUAAGACACCAUUUUCAACCAAAAAAUUUUAAAUAAUGUUAUUUACUUACUCAUUUAUGCCCUAUGACAGUUUGAUCUGAUUUCAAGUCUUAACCAGACAAGAAACAAUGACGACAAGACACAAAGAGCUUUAAGAAAGGAGGAAGUGGGACAUGGUAGUGAUUUGGAGGGAUAAGGUUGGUGCUGUAAAACAGACACAUGUUCUGUUUAACAAAAAAAUAUUAUAGCUUAGAAGAUAUGGGUGAUGAUAGAGUAGUUGGAUGAGUGUGUGUGCGACACACUGCAUGUGACACGGUCCCACACUUUAUCUUCUGAUUUGAUUUCUGCAGUUAAAGCUGUGUGCAGCGAAUCGACUUCAUCAUCUUUUGUCGUUAUUCGUUGCCAUUUUCACACGCGCAUAAUGCAUUUCAAAGCUCCAUUGGAUAAUUCUAGAGGAAUUUCCCCACAAUUUCUUUUCCAUCAAUGUGUAAGUAAUGCUAUAUUUACUUUAACUGGCUUAAAUUAAAUAAAAAACAAUUUUUUAAAAAUAAAAAAUAAUUAAUUACUAUAUUAAAUAAAUUAAAUACUACUUUAAAAAUUCAAAAAAUUAUUAGUAUCUAAAUUAAUUUUUAUUAUUGAUAAAUAAUUUAUAAAUUUAGAUUUUAAAAUUGGUAGUUAUUCUAAUACAUAAUAAUUUCCCAUCAUUAAGGAGUCGAGAGAUCAAAAUCAUUUUAUAUAUACUUUAUCACUUAAUCCAUUGAGACACUGUUCUUAACGGACAAUACUAGAUCAGAAUGAUCGUUGAUUAAAUACUAAUUUAAAAACUAUUUAUCAGUAAUAUAAAUUAAUUUAGAUACUAAUAUUUUUUUAAUUUCUAAAAUAAUAUAUAAUUUAACUAAUAUAAUAAUUAUAAAAUGUUUUUAUUAUAUUUAUCUUACAUUAGAUAUGACUGAUAUUUACGAGACUUUAGAAUAAUUUGAUAUAAAAUAAAAUUUGAGUCUAAUUUAGCUUUAUAAAUUUGAUAUUUAAGUUGAAAUUUAUACACAUAUUUAUGUACUACAAAAAUAUCUUUAUCUACAAUGAAAUCUCCAACAAUUUAUUGUUAAAAAAUAUUAGUUUUAUUUUCAUAACUUUUAAAAGAUAAAAUUUUCAUUUCUAUUGGUGUAAAGUUAUAUAAAAUGAUUAUUUGUAUUAAAAAAAUAGUUGGUUCUGUCACUGUCAGGUUUGAAACAAAGGAAUCCCAUCGUUGGAAGUAGAGAAACCUCGAGUUCCUCAUGGGCAAUAUAAUAUUAUAUUUUAAUUAGCAAAGAAAAAAAAAAUAAUAAUCUACAUCGUGAUCUUAGGUUUGGUUGUUAAAGAAUCAAAUCAUGUUCAAACAAAGCAUGCUUCUCGAGUGAGAAAGAUAAUCAUAUUUUAUUACGAAAACAGGGAUGGUUUACGUCAACUUAUUCUUUUUUUUAUCAUUUGAUGAUUGUCAAAUAGGAAUUUUUACUACAUUUUAAACUCAAAAUCAUUUUUUUAAAACGAUCACGUAUUCAAAAUACAAUUUACUUAUUUAAAAAAGUAAAAAAAAAACUUAUUUUUAAGAAAAGUAUAUUAAAUGAACACAUAAAAAAUUGAAAGACAUAUCAUCCAAUAAUUUAUCCAUUUUCAGUUGGCUGAUAUUUAAAAAAAAUUAAGUAUAUAAAAUACGAUAUUUAUGUAUUUAAAUAUAAAAAAGAAGAAGUUUUGAAUGAUUAUCAUAUAAGAAAUUAUUAACUAUAAUGAAAAAAAAAACUGUUUAGAACCUUCUUCUGUUGUAAUGGAGUUGCAUUCAAAUUUAUUGUAAUAAGAUUUUCAGAAAGAUAACUUAUUAUUAUUCUAUAAGGAUAAAAUCCCAAAAUUUCAUCUUUUUCUAGUAGCAACUCUAUUUUUUUUUAUAAAUAUUGGGUAACCUAAAGGAUAAUGAAAGUCUAGUUUCAUGAUCUUUAGAAUUUUCUAAUAGUAAUUGAAGCAUUAUUUUACUCUAUUUAAACACAAUAGAGUUAAAUAUAAAGUGAUUUUUAUUUAUUUAUUUUUUAUUAUUGGUAAAAAAUAAUAGGAAAAACUUAAAUUUUAAAUUCUGUUACUAUUCUCAUAAUAUUAGGAAUAUGUUUCCAUAAAUUCAGGACAUAUAUUUUUUAUUAUGAUAUUAAAAAUUAAAAGUGGUACUUACUUUUUAGUUGUAAGGUUUAACAAGAAUAAUCAGCUAAUUUUUUUUUUUAUAAAAGUAAUUCUAUAGUGAAAGGGAAAGUGAAAGUGAAAGUGAAAAAGAAAAGAAAAUAAUGAGACAUAUAUUAUUUUAUUUUUUUGGUGAGUAAGUAUUAUCAUAUAUAAAAUUGUAUUUGUUUGUUUUUGAAAAAAUAUGGGCAGUAACAGUGACACAUUGAAGAUUGUCUAUACCCACAUUUUCAAUUUUGUCCACCAUUUCCCCAUACAUACACUCCUCUUAUUUAAUUUCCUAUUUAUUGGGAUUAUUAAUUAUUAAUUUGGUCUUUUAACAGAGAAUAAGACAAUUUAAAUGAUGUUUUGGAUGAAUUGAAAUAUAUUUUGUUUGUUGAAUGUGUGAUUGUUUUUUCUUAAAAUUGUAAAAUGGUGUUAUUAAACAUGAUGAUAAUGUUCAAGUGUUGUUCACCGCUUAAGCAAUAUUUAAAUGGUGUAUAAAAUAAAUUUUAUUGUUAACUAGUAGUAUUCGAUAAAAAAAAAUGUAGAUGUUAAAGGAAUAAGAAAAUAUUUUAUGUUAGAAGUCUAUAGCUAGAAUAAGAGAGAUUAAAAUAACUUGUUCAAAUGAGGUUAUUCAAGCAACUAUGUCGCCGUUCAAGCAAGAUCCAUGAUAAUGGUGCAUACAUUCACAUCACAAUGUUCAAGUGGUAUCAUGAAAACUCAAAUGUUAGUGAAACAAUGUGUUUUAUGUUAUGAACCUUAUUAGAAGAGGUCCAAUACAUAUAUUAUUCAAGCAUUGUGAGAAUGUUCAAGCGAUAAACUCUCAAGUGAAGAGAAUGUAGUUUGAGUGAAUAAAAGUCUUAACUAAAAUUACUAUCUAGAGGUAUCUCUCCUAAGUAAUAUGAAACUACUUCUUAAUGAGUAAUAUGAAUCAUUGGUGUGAGAUAUAUAUGCCUGAUACAUUCUUAGGUAGUCAUACUUUUAAUGUCAGCGAUCUAACUCCUUUUUCUGUAGGUCUCCAGAAUUCGUGGUCGAAUUCUCUCCAACUCGGGGAGUAUGAUGGAGAUCAAGCCCAAGAGAACAUGGAGGCCACUCAUCAAGCUCAAGAAGAGGUGGNNNNNNNNNNNNNNNNNNNNNNNNNNNNNNNNNNNNNNNNNNNNNNNNNNNNNNNNNNNNNNNNNNNNNNNNNNNNNNNNNNNNNNNNNNNNNNNNNNNNNNNNNNNNNNNNNNNNNNNNNNNNNNNNNNNNNNNNNNNNNNNNNNNNNNNNNNNNNNNNNNNNNNNNNNNNNNNNNNNNNNNNNNNNNNNNNNNNNNNNNNNNNNNNNNNNNNNNNNNNNNNNNNNNNNNNNNNNNNNNNNNNNNNNNNNNNNNNNNNNNNNNNNUCGAUGCAACGUACCUAAUAAUUUAAGCUUUUUCCUUUUAAUACUUAAAAAAAAAAUCCUAAAGAACUUUUAGAUGGGUUUUCCAAAGAUUAAAUCCUACAAAAAUAACAUCCCCUUAUCACCAAUUACUCAAGAUGAAUAGAAAAUAAUAAUAUAUUAUUGAUAGAAAUUGAGUCACUUGUUUAAUUAGUCUAUAUUAUUCCCUAUUUUUCCGCUUUCUCAAGUCUGAAAAAUGAUACCACACCAUAAUAGUCAUAAUUUUUUCUCAUCUUAGAGAUAGUUUAGAAAAAAAGUUUUUUAUUAAAAUAAAUAUUUAACUUUUAUUUAUACACUACCUAUUUCUUGUUAAUUUAAAAUUGCAUCUUAAAAUAAAAUUAAAGGCUUAUACAACACACUAUAACUAAUAUAUUGAACGAGUUUUGUACACUCCAAAGUUCAAUGUUUUUAGUGUUUCAAAAUAUUGCACGUGUUAUAAUAAUACGGUAGCAGACCAUGUUUAUCAUGGCAUUCAUCCACACACUUUGUAGUCACUCGAAAUUUAUUUCUAAUUAUUAUAUUUAUUUUCUCUAGGAUAUCAUUAUUUGAGUGAUUAGAUAUUUUAUGUUUACAUAGAAUUAUAUAAUAACUCAUGGUUGACUCCAGUCAUUAGUAAAAAUUAAUUGAAUUAAAGAAAAGUAUAUUAUUUUGAAAGAAUAUUUAAAUAAAAAGUUUUAAAAACAUUGAAUUUAGUAAAAGAAUUACGAAAUUCUCUUUUUAUAAAUUUUGGUGUUUGAUUUGUUAAUUUUUCCUCACUGCUAGCAAGGUUGAGCUUUUGUGAUAAAGAAUAACUCUAAAUUUUUUUUUUUUGGAGUUUGUAAUAAAUUGGGUUGUAAAUUUUUUUUAAAAGAUAAAAAUAAUUAAUAAAAUAGAGAUAUUUCAUGUAUACCACAACUUUUAUAGAAAACAACUUUAUUGCAGAGUGAAUUUUAAACCUAACUCAACUCCAUAAAAUCAGUUUAAUGAAAUGAGGUUUGCAUCCACUUAUAUACUAUGAAAGACUCUAAUCUCUAGUCGAUGUGGGAUCUCCAACAAACUUACAUCUUAGAUUCUUGCACUAUGAGAAACAUGCAACUUAGACAAACAAAAAAGUCAUUUUUACAAAUCUCUAUAAAAUUGGGAUGUGAGAUAUUAUCUUAUCUCUCUUCUUAAUUCUAAUAUAAGGGUUGAGUCAUCUUUAAAAUAUCUAUAUUUAUUUAUUAUUUUUAAUAAAAAAAAUCUGAUUUUAUACUGUAGUUGUACGUACUAUAGCUGAUUGAUAUAUAUGUGUUUUUUUUAUAUACUAUCUAUUUGAUGAUUCAUAACUCAAACUCUAUUAUUUUUCCAUAUUCUUUCCACCUCAUCAUCAUCCACGAGGGAAAACAGUGCAGGUAAGGUAAUCAUGUAUCACUAUCACCCUUACAAAUGAUCAAGGAAUGGUGAGAGGCCAUAUUGCAAUUUAGCAGAAAAAUAUCAGAAAAUUACUUCAGUAGAGAGAGGUAAUUCAGCAUUGGUUGAAAUGACUUUGUUCUUGGAACACGUGAUAUUGAUCUAUAAAUAGGGUGUUGUGGAGAGGGUAGAAGGCACAAACAAGGCACAAGGCUUUGAAGAAAGAAGAAGAGUGUGUGGUGUUGUGUUUUAUUGGCAAAGAUGUUUGGAAUCCUAGGAGGAGGAAAGGGUCACAAGAUAAAGGGAACAGUGGUGUUGAUGACCAAGAAUGUGUUGGACUUCAACGAAGUAGUGUCCACUGCUGGUGGUGGUGUGCUUGGUAUUGCUGGUGGCAUCUUUGGAACUGCAAACAAAGUAGUCGGAGGAAUAGUUGACGGCGCCACCGCCAUCUUCAGCCGCAACAUUGCCCUACAGUUGGUCAGCGCCACCAAGACUGAUGGUUUGUUUCUUCCUUCUGUUUUCUUCUGCAGUUCAAAAUAACUCUUCUGCUUCUUUCAACAUGUAGUUUAUCAAGAAACUAACAUAGACAUAAACAAUCCAACCACACUUUUUAAAACAACUUCUUAUGUUAGAUUUGAAGAACAGUAAUAAUAUAUUCACAUGUACCAGGUUAUAACUGAUUAAACUGGUGACAGUUGUUAAAGUUACACUUUAGUUUGAAGAUAAUAGUUUCUACAGUUAUUUCUCACUUCUCACUUUCAUCAUUGUUAAACUCUUGAUAAUUAUGACUGUACAAAAUUUUCAUUUCAUAAACAUUCAGUUUAAAGAGUCAUGAUCUCUAUCUGUUUUGGGUAAAUUGAAGUAGAAAAAAUAGAGAUGAACAAGAUAAUAAAAAAAGAGUUAUUUAUUUAUUUAUUUAUGGUGUAAAUCUUUCACGUACUUAAACAUGAUUGUUUAUUAUAUAUUCUCGAUUGCAUGAUUUGGAAAGAGAAUUUUAUCUUUAUUUUUAUUUGAAGUAGUUAGACAACUCCAAAAUAUAAUGAAUAGAAUAAAUGAUACGAUCCAUAAUGAACAUAAUGAUUUGUACAAAACAACAAACUUGUUUUAUUAAAAAGAAUUAUUAGAUCUGAACAUUUAAAAAAUAAAAUUGUUAGUGUUGAUAUUAAAGUAAGUUUAUAUUGAUUUAUAAUAGGAUAUAUUAUAUUAUUAUAAGGUAUUUAUAUAUUAUCAAUACUUAAAAUACUUAUUUACUGUGGACUUUCAGAAUAUAUUUUAAAAGAUGAUAUUCUUUUCAAGGAUUAGACAGUUUUUUUUAUUAGCUUUGAUUAGGGACACUAUCAUGAAGAUAUUUUUAUAAAAUGAAUUAGGAUUUUUUUUUUCUGAAAGAGCAGGGAUAGAGAAAAAAAAUAUUAAUAUUCUUUAAUUUUUUUCUUAUUUUAUAUUAUUUUUAAUUUAACUGAAUAAAAUUGACCCGGAUUGAUAUUUUUCCAUUCUAUUUAUAAUUAUAGUUGAUAUUAUAAUAAAUGUAGCACUUUUUUUUAGACAUAUAAAUACAAACAAAACUACAUUAAGUUCAUAUUUGAAAAAUAAACAUUACAAUAUAUAUAAUAAUAUUGUUUAUUAUAAUAAUUAUUUUAAAAAUGAUAUUAUAGUAUUACUUCUUAUUAAUUAGUUAAUGACAUAAACAUAUUUUAUCCUCUCUUUAUAUAUAAAUUAAAUUCUGUUUUCAAACUCUAUUAUUGUCUGUUUUAAAUUGAAAUGACAGCUUUUCCAAGACAGUGAUAACAGUGAACCUUUGUGUGGAAGAUAAUAGUUCUUUUUACGUGAACACACGAGAGCAGAUUAAGGUUUAGUUUGGAAAGAACAAGAAAAAUGGUUUUGUGGCAUUUAAACAUGUGAAGAAAAGAAGAUAAAGAAAGUGAGAAAAAGAGAGAAGAAAGAGAGGAUUUUUUUAAUAAUUCUUUUAAACUAUGAUUGUGAUUUUUUAACAAUUCAGUGAUGGAUUGUGGAUAAAAAGUAAUUGGGUAAGUAUAAAUUUUUGAAAAGCACUUUUGAAUUUGAAUGCACAAUGAGUAUGAGUUUUCUUUGUAUGUGCUUAUUUUUCAGGGCUUGGAAAUGGAAAGGUUGGAAAGCAAACGUUUUUGGAGAAUCAUCUUCCUUCGUUACCAACCUUGGGAGAUAGGCAAGAUGCAUUCAAUAUUUCUUUUGAAUGGGAUGAGAGUUUUGGAAUUCCAGGAGCAUUCUACAUCAAAAACUUUAUGCAAGCUGAGUUUUUCCUUGUGAGUCUCACUCUUGAAGACAUUCCAAAUCAUGGAACCAUUCACUUUGUGUGCAACUCCUGGGUUUACAACGCAAAAAAUUACAAAAAGGACCGUAUUUUCUUUGUCAACAAGGUAACUAACAUGAAAUUCAAGUACUAUUUUCCUAAACUUUCACAUAAUUUAGCCCAUUUUAAUGAAGAAAUUCAUCAAACAUGUUGCAGACAUAUGUUCCAAGUGAAACUCCAACUCCACUGGUUAAGUACAGAAAAGAAGAAUUGGAAAACCUAAGAGGGGAUGGAACUGGGCAGCGUAAGGUAUCUGAUAGGAUCUAUGAUUAUGAUGUGUAUAAUGAUUUGGGCAACCCAGACAAGAGUGCAGAUCUGGCUCGUCCUGUUCUUGGAGGUUCUAGUGCCUAUCCAUACCCUCGCAGAGGAAGAACUGGGAGAAAAGCAUCAAAAAGAGGUUAGGAUUUAAUUUUUCUAUUUUAGAUAAUCAAUUCCAAUGCAUGGUGAUAAAGUAAUUUGCCUCAAUGAAAUUGUACCUUGAUGUAGAGCUGUACUAUUAUAAGUUAGAUUUUUGUUUUUUGAAAGUGCAAUUACUUAUUAUUAUUAUUAUUAUCAUUAUCAUUAUGAUUGAGGAUACAAAAUUGAUUUUACUUUUAUUAACAGAUCCUAAGAGUGAGGCACCAGCCAGCGACACUUACAUUCCAAGAGAUGAAAAUUUUGGUCACUUGAAGUCAUCAGACUUUCUUACAUAUGGAAUAAAGUCCUUGGCUCAAAGUGUCUUACCUCAAUUUCAAUCUGCAUUUGGUUUAAAUGCUGAGUUUGAUAAGUUUGAUGACGUUCGUGGAUUCUUUGAAGGUGGAAUUCAUCUUCCUACAGACGUAAUAAGCAACAUUAGCCCCUUACCAGUGAUAAAGGAAAUCUUCCGCACUGAUGGUGAACAAGUCCUCAAGUUUCCACCACCUCAUGUCAUCCAAGGUAUUGUUUGCUUACAAGUCACAUAUAUAUCUCAAGUAAAAUCAACUGAAAUUACUUCACAUCCAAUAUUUAUCAUAUUUAACAUUUACAUGUUUUUCAUAUUAUUUGGAGCAGUUAGUAAGUCUGCAUGGAUGACUGAUGAAGAAUUUGGAAGAGAGAUGCUUGCUGGUGUUAAUCCUUGCCUAAUUCAACGCCUUCAAGUAAAUAAUGCUUUAUUGUUCAUUAAAUUGGAAUGAUUUGGUUUUCAUUUGAAUUAUAUUCGUUGUUUCUCAUGUUAAUUUACUGGCAAUGUUAUUUAAUGAAUGACAGGAGUUCCCUCCAAAGAGCAAGCUAGAUGCUUCUGUGUAUGGUGAUCAAACUAGCACAAUUACUAAAGAAAAUUUGGAGAUCAACCUUGGUGGACUCACUGUGGAAGAGGUGAAUGAUAUUUAUUAAUUCCAUGGCAAAAUGAUACAUGAAUCUCCAUUUAACCAUGACACUGAAUGUUUAUAAUGAUAUUUGUUCAACAGGCAUUGAAUGGUAACAAACUGUUCAUAUUAGAUCACCAUGAUGCAUUCCUACCAUAUCUGAGGAAGAUCAAUGACCUACCCACCGCAAAGUCUUAUGCCACAAGGACAAUCCUUUUCUUGAAAGAUGAUGGCACAUUGAAGCCAUUGGCUAUUGAAUUAAGUCUUCCACAUCCUAGGGGAGAUGAGUUUGGUGCUGUUAGCAGAGUUAUCUUGCCUGCAGACCAAGGCGCUGAAAGCACAAUUUGGCUAUUGGCUAAGGCUUAUGUUGUAGUAAAUGACUCUUGCUAUCAUCAACUCAUGAGCCACUGGUAUGCAUAAACUCUCCCAUUUGUCAUCACUUAUCAUAAACCAACUAUUAAGUGAUUCUUAAUUUAUUUGGUUUGCCAUAUCAUUUGAUCACAGGCUAAAUACCCAUGCCACAAUUGAGCCCUUUGUCAUAGCAACAAAUAGGCAUCUCAGUGUGCUCCACCCUAUAUACAAACUCUUGUCGCCUCACUAUCGUGACACCAUGAAUAUCAAUGGACUUGCACGACAAUCACUCAUCAAUGCAGGUGGUAUUAUUGAGCAAUCAUUUUUGCCCGGGCCAUUCUCUGUGGAGAUGUCUUCAGCAGUUUACAAAAGUUGGGUUUUCACUGAUCAGGCUCUUCCUGCUGAUCUUAUUAAGAGGUAAUAUUUAUGCAUUACUGUAAAAAUUUUCAAGUUAAAAUUGUUCAUUUAUUUCAUACCAACAUUGUGUGUCCUUUUAAUCUAUUUUCUGAAGAAACUUUAGUAAAUAUUAAAAGAUCUUGAUUUUUAUACAUUGUCAAUGUAAACCCAUUAUAAAUAACGUCAAGUAUUAUUUUAUGGUAUUGUGGUAGAAACUAACCAACUUAUCAUAAAUACAAUAUGUUAUUGGAUUAACAUAUAAAAGUCUUUUACUCUUUGUGCAUUAUGUAUAUUUUAUAUUUAAAAUGUUAAAAGCGAGUAUUGCCUUGUGGAAGUUAAAGACUGAUGAGAUAGUCAAAAUUCAUUUCAAUGAUAUUAUUUACUUAAGUAAAAUUGUUUUUUAUCUAAAAAAUGAAAGAGAAAUUUGGUGUUAACAACAAGUCCUUUGUUAUCUCCUUGAUUCAGAGGAAUGGCAAUUGAGGAUCCAUCCUCUCCACAUGGCCUUCGUCUAGUGAUUGAUGACUACCCUUAUGCUGUCGAUGGACUAGAGAUAUGGAGUGCUAUCCAGUCCUGGGUUAAAGACUAUGUCUCAUUGUACUAUGCCACAGAUGAUGCAAUUAAGAAAGACACAGAACUCCAAACUUGGUGGAAGGAAGCUGUUGAGAAGGGUCAUGGUGACUUGAAAGACAAACCAUGGUGGCCAAAGUUGAACACUCCUCAAAAUCUGAUUCACAUUUGCAGCAUUAUAAUAUGGACUGCUUCAGCUCUCCAUGCAGCUGUUAAUUUUGGACAAUACCCUUAUGGAGGUUACAUCCUAAACCGUCCAACUCUAACCAGAAGAUUGAUCCCAGAGCCAGGAACCAAAGAAUAUGAUGAGCUGAGCAGCAAUCAUCAAAAGGCUUAUCUGAGAACAAUUACAGGAAAAUAUGAGGCCAUUGUGGACCUUUCUGUGAUAGAGAUAUUGUCAAGACAUGCUUCUGAUGAGGUCUAUCUUGGACAGAGGGACAAUCCUAAUUGGACCGAUGAUACAAAGGCUCUUCAAGCCUUUCAAAAGUUUGGAAACAAACUGAAGGAAAUUGAGAAUAAGAUCUUAGGAAGGAACAACAAUUCAAGUCUCAGAAACCGUGUUGGGCCAGUUAAGAUGCCCUACACUGUGCUUCUUCCUACCAGUAAGGAAGGUCUCACUUUCAGAGGAAUCCCCAACAGCAUCUCUAUUUAAGGAGUCUACCUGUGUGGUUUAAUGUCUGUCCUACUUUAUCGCUCAAUACCAAAUAAUUAUGUUUGCUUGUCUCUGCAUAAUUGUCGGGUGUAUGCUUAAGUAAUGUAUGGGGAUCUUACAUGGUUCUCCUUUUAAUAAGAGUGGUAUCAUUUUGUGUUAAGUAUUGGGUUAUAUAAGUCUGAUAUCUCGGAUUUUGAAUAUCAAAUCAAAUUUCUCUCUGCCAUAUACAUUUUUAACAUAAACCUGUUGCAUGACUUUGAUUUGGGUAUCUAAAUUUCUACCUCAUAAAAAACAGAACAAGCUUCAUUUUUUUUUCCUUAAAUACUACUAAUAAUUAUUUUACUUUUUGAAGAAAAUAAAAAUGGAAUCAAGAAGAAGUAUUUUAAAAUAAAAGCAAAGAGAAAAAAUAAAAUAAUUGUAAUAAUAAAAAACUCUUUUCUACUUAUUGCAGUUCUGUUUCACUUUGCAUAUCCCUAGCCCGUCUCACUCUUUUCCUUUCCACACCCAUUUGCUUCUCUCCACGCACCCAUGCCACUCUUUUUUCUCACCCCAUUCUCAGUGCCACGCCGCCGCGCCGUCAACCGUUGCCAUCCAUCAUCAUCCUGCAUAUGUUUUUUAUUUUCCUCAUAUUUUUGGUUUCUUAUCACCUUUUCUCUCUCUUCAUUGAUUCAUACACUCAUAAAACAUAUUUAAAUGGCGGGUUCCACGUUUUUUUAUACAAACAAGAUAAAAUUAAAUUCAAAAUUCAAACAUAACAAAAAAAGAAUCUGAGCCCAUUCCGCAGCCCGACUUACGUUUUCUCACUGCACCCCUCCUUUACCGUCACACUCCUCUUAUUUCAAAACAAGGGAAAUCUGGGCACAUUCUGCUGGUCCAGCUACUUUUUACUUUCUGACCCCUUUGUCUACCUGCGCGACCCUCACUCAAAGCUUAACCAUAUUUACUCUAGCACGUUUUUUGUUUUUAAUUUUUAUUAAUAAAAAUUUGAAAAAUAAUAAAUAAAUUAGCAAGGGGCGACUCCUUCUUAAUUUUUUUUGUGUGAAAAUCUUAUUUUAUUUCGCAUCCCAUCGUUACCGCGAUAGAUCUUAAAACUAGGUUGUUGCCACUAUACAAUAACAAAGACACCACUAAUAAAGGUCUUAUAUCAAUCUUUGUGAAAAAGUUGUAUCGUGACACCAACAAUUUAUAUUUCUCUGUUGGUGAGAUGACCAUCACUUCGGAUGAUGUGCUAGUAUUGCUACAUCUUCCCAUUGUGGGAUAGUUUUUUUCGUAUAUGAUUUUGGAUUUUAAAUCAACUUUAUCAUUGUUGGUUGAGCUCUUUGACUUGGAGUUUGGUGAUGCUACAACAGAGUUGAGCGAGUGUUGUUGAUAUACAAACCAAAGGAUCAAGUUACCAAUCAAAAUAAAAAAAAACACGUAGAGGCAAAAUUAUAAGUAACUCAAGAUCAUACCUUCAAUUGAACCAGAGAUGACCAAACACAACAUCUUUAAAAAAGUAUUUAUUCAUAUGUCUCCAAAUCUCAACAAUAACUGCAAUCUAGAUACUUCCCCAAACAACAUUAACAGGUACAUUAAAAAGCAUUAAAAAGUUUGAAUUGGUGGAAGUGUGAAAGAGGAUCAUGAUGAUCUACCAAUGCCAACUCUAACCAAACAUAACAAUGGUUCCAAUCGAGCCAGACAAUUAAAAGUAAGAAAAAUCCCUUUAUAAAUUAACUAUUUCAUCUUGCACUCCUGCAAAAAAAAGUUGUUACUCCUCCAAAAGUCCACUUUAAUUAACAUAAGAACGUCUCCUCAAACCUACAAAACACACUGCUACAUCCUUCCUAAAGCAAGAGGUUGACUAUACAAAUUCUCUAAUAUGAAACAUUACUCCUUAACAUAUUUCAUACAUUCCAAUGAUUUCAUACACCAUUCAAAAUGAGAGAAAUCAGCAAAAAAAAAUUACAUGUAAUCCAAGUCUAGGUUUUUCUUUGUAAACCCUAAACCCAAAACAAGAAAUUAUGAGGUUUUGAAUUUGAAUUCUUUAGAUGUUUCAUGUUCAAGAAAUUGAUUAAGAUUUUUGAAGAUUUGGAUAUUGUGUUAUACUUUAACAACCCCAACUUUUAUGCUUAAAUUUAUGUGAGAUUAUAGUUAAUAAAUGAACUUGAGGUAGAUAAUUUAGUUUGCAUGUGAAAAUUUUACAAAAAUUGAGAAGUAAUGGAGUGAUUUCACGUUAACUAUGUUGAGUGGAGAUGUUUGUUGUUUCUAUGAUAAUAUUUUGAUUAUAUUGGAUAAUUUAAAUUCUUGAAAACCAGAGUUCUUGUAUGUGAAUAAGACUUUUAUAAGUUUAGAAAAAAUGGAGUUCUUAGGGUUAAACAAGUUAUUUUAUACUAUUUAAAUAUUAUUGUAUGAAAGAAUAUAAAAGAAACAAUAAAAAUAUUUGAGUCAUCGGUUUUGUUCAUGACUAAAGAAAAAUGUUACUUUUAAAUUUAUAAUCUAUAAUUUUAAUAAAGUUUAAGAAAACCAAUUUUUUUAAUAAAAUCGUAAAUUUCAAGUUCAUGAAGUUAAAUUUUUAAUUAAAUUAGUUGAUAGAGUGGUAUUUGUGAGUUAAAGUUUUAGUGUGAAGUCCUUUUAAUGAGGCACUUUUGCAAACUUCGAGUUGAAUAAGAUUAAGUUAGAUUAAAGCAUGAAAACUUUGCCUAUACUUAAUUUUAGAGAUCUAGUUAAGUUUAUGGUUUUGCAUAUUUUUGUUGAAGUGAAAUAUUUCUUAUUUAGCUUUUAUUUAGCGAAACUUUUCAAAAGAGAUAAAAGAUAAAUAUCUACUUAAAUAAAAUUUCUUUAGAAAGAAAUGAGAUUUUUUUAAGAAUUUUCCUCAACUAUAUAAAAAUUUGCUAAACGAAUUUAGAUACAACAUGAAGAAUGAAUUAUAUUUUAAAAAAACAACAGAUUAUAAUUGUGCUAAGUGGAUUUCUUAAAAAAAGUUCUUACUCUUUAUUACCUAAUAGGACUGUUCUCUUAAUUUUUUUAUUUAAUUUUAAUAUAUUUUAAUAAAAUUCAUUAUGCUUGUUAAAUUAUUGAGUGUUUAUUUAGGAUUGGUAUGUGGAUGUGAAAUCAUCGAGGUGAUUGAGGUGAGAUACUUAUUAUUAACAGAGUAAUAUUAUGAUGAUUUAAAUUUAAUUUAUAAUGUAAGUAUUAAAUUAUGAAACAUAAAUAUCUAUAUUUUUGUCUUAAAAGUAUAAUGAUAUUCAGGGAUAUAUCAUGUACGAAAAACUAAUGAAAGUUCCUACUACCUAUUUGAGCAUGAGUAGGAAUUUUGAGAAAAACAAUAUCAUGACUCAAAUUGAGAAAGUUGUUCCAAAUUAGAAUUUAUUAUCCUUAAACUAUGUUGGUUAUUAAUUCAGAUUUUAUUAUUAUUAAUUAUGAUUUUAUUACCCUUAAACUAUUUUACCGUUAUAUUCCAUUAAUUCUUAGUAGUCCAUGGUCUUACUAUUAAAAACAAGUUACAUGGCAAGUCAUCAACCUUUUUAUAAGAAAUAAAAUGAGUCAUUUUGGAAAAUCUUAAACAACCACGAGGAUAAAAUCUUUCUCCCAUUGAGUCUAUUGCAAACUUCCAUUGAAAUAUCAAGUCAAAAAUUAUUAGGAAAAGACAAAGGAAUGUACAAACCAUGUGGUUUCAUUAUUGAUUUGACCUUUUUACAAGUAAUGCAAUUUUUACAAAAUUUGUUCACAUCACAUUUCAUGUGAGGCCAUUAAUAAUGUUCAUACAAACUAUUUAAGGUAUUUUGAACCCCAAAGUGUCCCACUAACCCUCCCUCAUGUACUUCUCUAACUAAAAGAUCCUUAAUAGAACAUUUAGGCACACAAAAUCUUAUCUCUUUAAACAAAUAAUCAUUGUGCCUAAAAUAUCCAUUGGUGCUAAAAGUUUACGAGAAACAAAAGUUCCAGAAAAUUCAUAAUCAUGUGAAUAAAUUUCUUUCAAAAAUUUAAGACAAUUUUUUUGUUUGUUUAAAAAGUAGAAAUCAAAACAUGUCUUCUAGAUAAAACAUCAAGUACAAUAUUUUAUUUUCCUUUUUUUAUGCUUUAUGACAUACAAAAAUUAUUCUAAAACUUCAACUCAUUUGACAUGUCUUUUAUUUAAUUUUUGGCCUUUUAAAUAUUUUAAAGACUUAUGAUUUAUAUGAAUAAGAAAUUCUUUAUGUAAAAUAAAUAUGUCAAGUUUGUAACACUCUCACCGAGGCAUACAAUUGUUUAUCAUAAGUGGGAUAGUUUAGGGUGAUCCCUUUUAACUUCUCAUUAAAAUAAGCAAUUAAAUGACUUUAUUUCAUAAAAAAAAACCCUUAUACCCACAUUAGAUAAUGCACCACACUCAAUUUCAAAAGAUGUUGUGAAGUUUAGUAAUGCAAGAAUGUGAACAUUAGUCAAUUCAUGUUUAAGGGCAACUAAAACUUUUUCUUGUGUUUCCCUUUUGAAUGCGGGAAUAUUAAAUUUGAUCUUAUCCAAUCCCAGUUGUCUUUGUUCUCCUUCUUCUUCUUUUUUUCUCUCUUUUUAAACUUUUUUUUUUCUUUUACCCUUUGUUUUUAACUUUUUUUUUAACUUCUUUCCUUUAUCUUUAUACAUAUAAUUGAAAUUUCAUUUUAGAGUCUCACAAUCAUCACACAUAACACGCACAUGCACACACGAACCCACACACUCGCACACACACUCACACAAAUUGGAAAUUCACAGGAGACGAAUUGGAAUCAAUCAACAAUUUUAAGUUGAAAAGAAUAUCAAAUAAAUAAGGUGCCACAAAUAAGGUUUAAUAAGCCUAAUAAUGGUCAUCUAAAGAAUUAGUAAAUUCUUGAUAAUAUCAGAAGAUGCAAGGGAAUAAUCCUAACAAAGAAACUAUCACUCUUAUUUUGGCAAAAUAAUUAUUUUUUAUUCUGAAUUCUAAAAAUAUAUUUAUAGAUUUUGCUUCGUUUGUAAGUAAAUAAUGAGAUCUCACAUCACUACAAGAAAAUCACAAAAUAGAAAUUAAUAAUAAAUAGUUGCUAUAGUGACUAAAUUAGAGACCAUUUUAGAAAUUAAAAAAAAAUUGGUUUCUAAAUUAAUUUCUAUUAUUGUUAAAUAGUUUCUAAAUUGGUAAUGCAUCAUAUAUAAAUAAUGACAUUUUAUAGUAUAUAGGUGAGAGCAAACCUCACCUUAUAUUCUGAUUUUGUAAAAUUAAAUUAUACUUAUAAUCUACUUCUUAAUAAAUAAAAAUAAAAUAUAAUUUAUAUAUUUCAAAAAAAUAUAAUAUUGUCUUAAUAGUUAGAUUAAGACAUUUUGAUUCUGGAUUCAAAUUCUAACCCUAACUAAAAUAUUAAUCAGUAUUUUAGCAGUUCAAGCAUGUGUUUUUUCUAAGUCUUUUAAAUACUUCAGAUAAGAUUAUUAAAAUAAUUUGAGGAGAAGAAGAUAAGACACCAUUAUUGUCCUUGGAAGCAAAACAAGUGGAAGACAAGAGUGUAGGGGAGGGGUUGAAAACCCAAUGCCGACAUGUAUGUGGAGUAAUAGUACAAUGUCCUCUAUUCUAACACUAUUUCUCUUUCUACAUAAAAUAAAAAUAAUAAUUUUUAGACAUUUUAAAUCUCACUCAAUACUUUGUGAAAAUAAUUAAAAUUUAUAUAUUUAGAUGUAAAUAAAAACAAAAAAAAAAUUAGUAGAAAGUAUUUUAGUAUUUUACAGCAUUUUUAAAAUGGGUAUUUAAAAAUUAUUACUCUUUUGCUUAAAUAAAAUAAAUAAUUUUUUUAAGGGUUUAGUUCUUAAAUUAACUCCGUUAAAUAGAAUACAUAAUUUUUUUUGUAAACUUUAUGUUUGAUUUAUAUAAAUAAAUAAUCCUUUUAACUAUUUUUUUUUGUUUUGAAGUUAAAAACUGGUUGCGUACAGUUUGGUGAAGCUUUUGUCGUUUGUGGUUGUUCCUUUACACUCUUUUGAACGUGCAAAAUAUGUUUAAUUAGAACAGAACAUUUGGAUAAUGUUUGACCAGAAUAUUUUAAUACCUUUUUAUUUAUUUAAAAUAAACACUAAUUUUAAUGUAUAUGUUCUUCGAUGAGUCGGAAUAUUUAUAUACGCCUGUACAAAAUUAUGUUAUUCAUAAUUAACGUGAAGUCGUAACUAUAUAAAUUCUAAAAUAUUAGGAAUAAUUUAUAAUAAAAAAUUAAUUUUAGGUGAUUUUUUAAAUGUAAUUUUAAUUGAUCAAAGUUAUAUAAUUGAUGAAAUUAUUGAUGGAUUUUCAUGAUUAAUUUGUUCCAAAAUUUUACUAUUAAAUCUGGAAGCUAUUUACAUUCAAUAUAUUCGUUAACUUGGUUAAUAACAAAUAAAAAUUCAAAAUAAUUUCAAUUUAAAAAAGUUACUAUUUGGAUUUUGUAUUUGUAUACAUAAUAAAGUAGUUUGUUCACUUCAAGUCUUCUUCUUUAAUUGUUGGUGUUAGGUUGAAAGGUUGACUGAAAAAGUUACUCUGACGAUCAAGUAAUUAUUUUGUGUUAAAAGUGUAUAGUGAAAACUGAUUAAAGUGUAUCUUACACAUUUGUCUCUGUAGAGGGUUUAUUUAUAGUGUUUAAUCAUGAACUUUUGUUGUGAUGGAUUGAAUCUAUCAAAUAUUAGUGUUAAUUGAUUUCUAGCAUGAUCAUUGAUUUAUAGGGAGAUAUAUUUGUAUAUUUGGAAAAUAUAUUUAAUAAGUCAAUAUUUUCCACUAAAUCAGUGUUAGUUGGUUUUUAGGGGAUGUCACCCAAAAUCGGUGGGACAUUUUUUUUAUCGACAAAAAGGAAUGGAAUAAAUGAAGGUAUUUCAGGAUACCUCAACCUUAUACAAAAACAACGACGUCCUUCACCCUACCACUCACAUUGAGAGCUUUAAAGUGGACAACACGAGGGAAAGUUUGUCGUCUACCCAUACUCAAAUACAAAAAACAACACCUCUAACUUGAGUCAAAUCAGCUCAACUUGACCUCCCCCCUCUAACCUUUUCUAUUUUUUAUUGACCUCAUGCGUACCAAAGGUUCAAGACACCAAUCUAAGUAAGAAAAAAACAUGCUAAACGUACCUUCGAGAUGACCCAUGACCAAACCUGCAGCUGCGCCAUUGUGAAGAUUUCUAUGUGAUCCAUGCGUCCAUUCUUGAAAACCUUUGUUUCCAAAUUUCGCCUAUAACUGCUAUCCACACACAAUUCCAGAUCCGGUUAAUACCUUUGCUUUCCUCGUUCAUCCUGAAGUGAGACAAAAGUAUUUUUGAAUCCUGAUGAACCAUCGCUGUCCUGCCCACCCACUCAAAGCACUUUGCCCAAACCAACCACGCUACCCUACACGUACUAAAUAGAGAUGAAGCGUUGUUUCAAUCCUCCCCACACAUAUUACAUAUGCUACUCUCCACCGUGAUCCCCUCCGUUAGUUUUAGUCGCAAUUUUGUUUUCCAACACUCUCCAUGUUGUAACUAAGGCUGAUGUGGUUGAGCCUUAAUCUCCAUAACCCCUUGUGUAGGUCAGAACCUUCCCCCUGUAGCUCCCCUUUUAGGACUCUAUAAACAUACUAGAUUGUAAAACUUGUAUCAUCACUUUCUUUCCAGACCCACUUAUCCUCCUUAUCUUUGGUAUGCACCAGGUCAAUAAAAAAUAAGAAAGGUUAGAGGGGAGAGGUCGGUUUGACUCAAGUUAGAAGUGUUAUUUUCAUAUUUGGGUAUGGAUAAACAACAAACUUUCCUCCGUAUUUUACGUUUUAAAGCUUUCAAUGUGAGUGGUAGACUGAAAAAUAUCGUUAUUUAUUCUAUUUUUUUAUCACUAAAAAAAUACAUAAUCACAUAUUAAUAUCAUCCAUCAAUCACCUAAAUUGAAUAAUUGGCUCGUGCAAUUCCGAAGUACAGAUCUAAAUAACAUUUUGAACAAUGUGUGAAUUGUUUUUGGAACUAGAUUUAUCUGCAACAUGUAACUUUUUGGAACACACAAAAAAACAAGAUAUACAAUACAAUAAUUGAAUAUGAUCAGAAACUCUUAUAUCACAUCCAUUACAUCAUCAAUCAUACACAUUUUUUUAACAAUGAUUACAAUAUUUCUCACUUCGCUAAAGACAUCACACAUAAAUGUAUACAAAAAUCAAGAUUUGUCGAUUUUUUAAGAUAUUUAUUGAGUUAGUCUGUUUGAGAUUAACACUUCAUGUAUGAUUAGAGUUUAUUGAACAUAAAUAAUUAUUUAUAUACAAUAACGAUAUCUUUUUUGCAUAGACUUUAAAAAAAAUGUUGUGUAAGAAUUUUUAUCAAUUUUCAACACCUAAAACAUUUAUUUACGUACAUGAUUUUUAGUUAUCAAUAAAACUUGAAUGUUUUAUUUUUAUACUAAUUUCUUAAUUUAAUACUCAUGUUAUAUUCAAACUAAUGACAAUAUUAUAUAAUAUUAUAUAUAAGGUUGAAAGUGUUGAUUAUUAAUUCAGAUUUUAUUAUUAUUAAUUUAAAUUUUAUUACUUUUAAACUAUUUUGACUCCUAUUAUUACAUUAAUGAUCAAUUUUCAUAGUAUUUCUAUUUUAUAGUUUUCAAGUAAUUAUAAUUUUAUAAUAUAUACUGUUGAAGUAAAUUAAAAUGAAUAAGAUCUAGUCGGCAGUUUUGCAAUGUGCAAUUACCUUCAAUUAGUUUAUACAACUUUUUUUUUUUCAAUUAGUUUCUACAGAAAUUGUCACGUUUAAUUAAUUAAUUUAUUUAUUGUUAGUAGGGAUCUCUGUUAUGCUGGAUUUUUGUUUUGAAGUGAUAUUUUCUGUAAUGAGCAAACAACAACGUGUAGGCGAAGCAGAAUGUGGAUAUAGUUUCAGUAUUUUAGGCAUAUGAUAAUUUGGGAUAUUUUAACCCUUUACAUACAUUAUCUUGUUCUUCUUAGAAAUCAAAAAGUCAAAUGAUAGUCUAAGAAUUUUUGUUUCAUAAAACUCUAAAAUCCUUCGUAAGUAUUUGAGACAAAAAUAGCAGUACUUAAAACAACUUAGUACUUUCCAAAUGAUUAUGGAUUAAUUUUUAAUUAUUUUUUUUUCAAAUUAAGAUAGAAACAUUUGAUACUUGUAUAAUCGAAUUAAGCAUAAUUGAUUAUAUUAAAAAAAAUAGCUUUUCAGAAUCGAUUAUUAUAUGAAAUAAUUAAUUAUGUGUUAAUAAAAUGAGAUCUAGUUUUAGUUCAGAAUUACGAGCUUAACAUAACUAACUAUAUGUUCAUAAAAAAUAACUUUUAAUGUAAAUUUGAUUAAAACUUUUUAAAGAUUGAUUUAAAUUUUAUAUUUAUUUAAAUUAAAAGAACACCAAAUAAUGAAUGUACGUCUAUUCAUUAACUAGGUGUACAUUUAUCAUCAAAUCAUCAACACCCUAUCAAUAAUAAAUAAUGUAUUACAUAAGUAAAGGGAUAACAAUUUCCAUCUACAAAUAAGAAAAAUAGUACUAGUCAUUCAUGUUACAACCAUGUGCUUAAUUGAUAGUAGAAUACAUUUCUACCAAAUAUUUCAUAAUUACUUACUAAACCCUUCCUACACAAAUCUUCUAUUUAUUUUUAUGUUUUAAAGCUUUGGUUCUUUUAGAUUUCUAAAAUGUAUUAUAGAAGAUAAAAAAAAUUCUAACAAGUAUUUGUGCAUUUUUUUUUUCAAUUACACAGUAGUAAAUAAAACUAUUUUUUACAGGAGUAUUACUAACUUUUAUAUUUACCAAUACUUAUAAUGAAGUAAUGCUAUCUCUUAUCUUUAGAAAUUUAUUUCUUAUAUAUGAGAUAAAGAUAACAUAUUUUUAUGAUGCUUUUUAUAAAUUAAUAUUUGUUUAGUGAUAAAAUAUUUUAUAAUAUUUAUGAUUAUAAUUUUUAAAUUUAUUUAUUUAUAGAUAAAUGAUUUUUAUUAUUAGAUUUUAUUCUCAUAUUAGAUAUUCUAUUAUUAUUCUUAUAUUAUAUGUAAAUAUUCUCAACUAAGUUUAAAGUAAAAUAAAUUAAAUGCAUUUACAUUCAUUAUGCUGAAUAAUGUAAUUUUCAAAAUAUUUUGAAAUGUAUGGUUAGAUUAAUAUAAUAAAUAAAUAGUAUAGUAAAAAGAGAGAAAAAACUGAUUUAACUUUACUUUAUGUAAAACGAGUAGUAAUGACAUUUAAUAAUGUUUUAAUAUUAAAAAUAAAAUAAAUAUAAAAAGUUAAAAAUUACCAUUUUAAAUAAUAUCACUUGAAAUAGUAUUUUUUUUAAAGAAAUUAUAAACUACUUAAAAAAUAUUUUUCAAACUUAUUAAAAAAGUCAAUGUAAGUUUUAUAAUUUAAAAACUAAAAUCUAGUUAGAAAUGUUUGGAAAACAUCCACUUAACAUGUAUGUAAUAUAAGUCAUUGUGUACAAUCUUCAUAAUUAGGAUGUUUUUGGGUUUUUACCAAUUUUUUUUUAUCAACAAAGAAUAAAUAAAAUAAAAAGAGAUAAGAGACUUUUUAGCAAUUUAAUCAAUAACUAAAUACAAGUGCAUUUAAUUUAGUGUUUACAAAACCUAAAAAGUUGACUAAACUGUUCAAACUUAAAAUGAAUUAUUCAACACGAAACUAAACAUAAGAAUAUAUAUUUAUCUAAAAUAUUUAACUGUAAUAUUUUUAGUAUCAAUGCAUACUACUCCAACUCCUCCACUACUAUCUGGUAUUUAUUUAACAGUAAAAAAAAACUUAAACUCUAAACUUAAAAAAGAAAAUACUUAAAGAGUGAUUUUGAAUAACCUAUCGUGAAACCAAACACCUACUGCAAAUAAAUAUUUUUUUUAACAUUGUAUUUUUUAUCAACAAUAAAAAAAAAUAAGAAUAAUUUUAGAAAUGAUCCAACUAUUAUAAAAAAAUCACAUAGAAACAAACACUUUUCUUCAAAAAUUUGUUACUAACUUUCUAUUAAAGAUGAAAACAAAUAAAUCAGAUUAAUACCUUAUUCCAAUGUUUUAAAAUAAAAGUCCUAGAAAUUCAAAAUCUCUUAAUAAAAAACACACAUUUCAAAGAAUAAGACAUUGAAUAACAUGUUUUUCUUAUUCAGAUUAAUGUUUAAAACCAAAACCAUUGGUUUGUAUUAGGUCAAUAAAAAAGGAAUAGUUUAAAGAGAGAGGUUGAGUUGAGCAAGAGUGUUCCAGAUUAGAGAUAAUGUUUUUUAGAUGUGGAGCUUGCAUCUCUCGUGUUGUCUACUUUAAAGUUCACUAUGCGAAUAAUAAACUAAAGGAUGUCGUUGUCUUUAUACAAGAGUGGAUGUGUCCCUAAACUAUCUUGAUUUUUAUUCAUUCUAUUUUUACCAAUAAAAAAUUGAACAAGAAAAACAAGUAAAUAUCCCACCAAAGGCAUAGCUUAAGUUGAGCAAAAGAGACUUUGUUCAAUAGACCGCUGUCUAAAAGUUUAAAACCUAUGUCAGAUUUAACUUUUUCUUUUAGAUACAAAGCAUUUUAACUUUCCUCUGAACAGUGCAUGUGGUUUAUUUUCUACAUCUUAUAUUAUCAUAUCUGUCAUUUUUUGUUUUUAUGUUAAAUCAUUGUCCUUUCUUGUCAUUUACCCUGAAUUUUUGUGAGUGUUUUGUCACCCUCCAUUCGUCUUUUUAUGCAUUUUCAGAAGUUGUCCUCAACAAAAAACUGAGCACAUUAUUACUCAUAGCAGAAAAUUAUGGUGGAACUUGCUACUUAUCUAUAAAUAGCCUCUUUGCAGGCACAAGGGUCUCCCACAGCAUCUGUAGAAAGAAGAGUGUGCUGUGUUGGAGCAGUCAUGUUUAAGGGCAAUACCUCAAAGGUUCACCAAGUGAAGGGGACAGUGGUUUUGAUGAGCAAGAAUGCAUUGGACUUCAACAAAGAUGGUGCCACUGCCAUCUUCAGCCCUGACUUUUCCAUAAAGCUUAUCAGUUCUAACAGGGUUGAUGGUUUGUUUCUUCCUUUUCUCAUAUAAACCAUGCAAAAUAUAACAUACACAUACAUAUAUCUUUAUUAAACAUUCCAUUAAUAUUUAUAGUUUUUCCUUUUAUCUGUCUUCAUUGGGGAGUGAAAAAACAAUUCAUUCAUCAUCCUCCUACAUCAUUAAAAAAAAAAACACAAAAACUAAUUUUAAAUACUAAAUUAGAAACCAUUUUAAUACUAAAACAAUUUUUAAUUUAUAAAUUAAUUUUUAUUAUUAUUAGAUAGUUUCUAAAUUGAUAUCUAAUUAGAUUUUUUUUACCAAAUAUGAUGUAAAUUUAAAAAUUAUUUAACAAUAAUAAAAAUUAAUUAGAAACCAAAAAUUAUUUUAAUAUUGAAAAUGAUCUCAAAUUUAGUUAUAGAAUAAUUAAUUAUUUUAAUUAUUUUUUAUGUAUAAAAUUGAUUUCUAUUUAAUCUUAUGAUUGACUAAUGAUCUCCAUCUAUCCUUUUUUUAAAUCUAAGUCAUGCUUCCAAUAAUCAGUACUAUUUCAUAUUUUAUGAGACUUUUUAUAUGUUUUCUUUAUAAAAUAUUGCAAGAAAUCAGUUUUCUUGUGAAUUUUUCUAUGGAUUUUGUACAGUCUGAAAAAAAUAUGUGCAUGAACUUUUUUAUGAAAUAUGAAAAAUUGUAGUUGUCAAUAUUUAAUUGAUAAAAAAUAAUCUAACAGUAUUUUGCAUAGUUAAAUCUUUCUUAAUUUUAAAAAAAUAUGGUAUUAAAAUUUCUUUUACAAGUUUUCUUUUUGAUUUUUAUGAAAAUGUAUUUUCUAUUUUGAAAAUAUAUUUUUUUAUAGAUUAUUUGAAUAUCCCAUAUUAGAAAUAAUUAAUGGAUGUAUUACAUUUGAAUUUUAACAAAUGGAGUAAGAUGAAUUGAAAAUUUUAAUUAAUAACAAAAUUAAUGAAUUUUUUUAUCCAAUACAUUAUGAUUUGAAAUAAAAUUUAUCUAACUCAUUAUGUUUGACCCCUUAAUUAAUCACAGUACAUGAGUUUCCACAUUUAUAGCUCUUUCACUUCUCUAGUUUUUUUUUUUCUUCUAAGAUUAUGUUGGAUUUGUUAAAAACAUAUGGGACUGUACAAAACAAAAUUUCUGAUGUUUGCUUUGAAAUAAAUUAAGUGAAGAACAUAAAAGUGUGAAGCUAAUUUCUAUUUGAGCAUUAUUCUUGCUAGGUAUUUUUAAUCGGUUUCCACUUAUGAUAAAAAAAUUCUAGUAUUAGUAUUCUGUCAUUUUAGUGGAUUUGGGGAGAAAAUAUCAAGAAAGAAAAGUAUUUAUGUGAUCGAGAGAAGGUCAGAGAUUUGUAAGUAUUGUGUGUAAAUAAUGAUUUUGCCUCAAUUAUUUAUUUGUUUUUCUUUAUUUUUUAAAUUAUCACUGUCCAUUAAUAAAUAAUUAUUUUUCAUUUUUUCAAUUAAAUUUUCUAAUAAAUAUACACCAAAGAAAAAAAUUACUUCAUAAAAAAUAUUUAACAGGUAGCAAAAUACUAAUAAUUUUGAUUUAAUAUAUUAUUUAUUUUUUAUUAUUUUGCUUUAAUGAAACUAAAUUUAUACAAAUGUGUAUAUGUAAGUAAUUGUUGUUGUUAAAGAGUUUGAUUAGAAAUAAUAAGUUCAAAAUUAUAGAAUAUAAGUAGAUGGAAAUUUCAUCUCACAAUUUGUUAGAUUAAAUUAAAUAAAAACUAAUUUUAUAGACAAAAAAUAAUUAAUUGCUAUCGACUAAAUUAGAAACCAUUUUAAAAACCUAAAAAAUUAUUAGUUUCUAAAUUAGUUUAUAUUAUUGAUAGUUUAUAAAUUGAUAUAUAAUUUAGUCAAUAUAACAACUAAUUAUUUUUAGUGGUUAAAAUUGGUUUUUAUUGAAUAAUUUUCUUAGUUUAGAUAAAUAAUAUGUUAUGGAGAUUAAAAAAAUGUCUUAUUUGAGUUUGAUAAUAUUCUUUAUUUAGGGCAUAAGAAUGGGAAGGUUGGAAAGGAAACCUCUCGGGACAAAAAUCAACCUGCUUCUUCGUUACCAACCUUGGGAGAGGGAAAAACUGCAUUCAAUAUUUCUUUUAAAUUGGAUGAAAGUUUUGGAAUUCCAGGAGCAUUCUACAUCAAAAAUUUAAAGCAACCUGAGUUUUUCCUUGUGACUCUCACUCUUGACAUUCCAGAUCAUGGAACCAUUCACUUUGUUUGCAACUCAUGGGUUUACAAAGCACAGAAGGAUCGUAUUUUCUUUGCAAACAAGGUAACUAAGUUGUGCACCUAUCAAGCAAUAUAUGAAUCUGGUUUUUGUACUCACUAGGAAAAUCUAUAAACUGCAUAAUCUUGUUUCUUUUAUGUAUACAUUGGUUUGGUAAGCUGCAGUUUGACCUAGCUAUAUGAAUUAAGGGGCUAAAAAAAAAAACAUUAGGUAUGGAGAGCUAUCUCAACUCAUACACAUCACCAUAAAUUAAUCCGAAUUUGUUUGUAUAAACUUGUAACACCUUUAAGGUACUUAAUGAUCUAAUAUAUGAAAUUUAAACCCUAUAGUUUAUAAACUUCACAAAAUUCAUCCCUAUUGUCUAAAUGAAGAAAUUCAUUGAACAUGUUUCAGACGUAUCUUCCAGAUACAACUCCAACUGCUUUUAAAAAGUACAGAGAAGAUGAAUUGAAAAGUCUGAGAGGAGAGGGAAAAGAAAAAGGAAAGCGCCAAGAACAUGAAAGGAUUUAUGAUUAUGAUGUGUAUAAUGAUUUGGGCAACCCAGACAAGAGUGAUGAUCUAGCUCGUCCUGUUCUUGGAGAUUCUAGUGCCUAUCCAUACCCUCGCAGGGGAAGAACUGGAAGAGACAAAACAAAAAAAGGUUAGGGAUUAUUUUUCACUUUAAAAAAAUUAUUUCCAAAUUAAUUUGUCGAGAAUCUAUGUAUUGUCUCUGAUAUUCUUAUUUAACUUGAAUAGAAUUGUUUGUAUGAAAGAUGCACCUAGCUUCACAAAAACAAUGUCAAUAUUCUGUCAUUAUGUGUGGUUAUGUUAUUACUAAUUUGAUCUCUUUUAGAUAUAAUGAGGAUGUUCAAUAUGUUUUUGGAAAUAUAGAGAUGCUAUUUUUGUUAUUAGUAAGAAAAAAAAUUACAAUGAUUAGAAUUAAAGAAAGUAUAUGUAGUAUAGCAAAAGGUUAUAAACACAAACCUGCUAGUAGGUAUGUUUUUUUUAUUAAACACAAUUGAUUUGUAUUAGGUUUACUAGGGGUUUAUUUUGUUAUUUGAAAGAUGAUGUCGUUUUUGUUUUAUUGAGCUAAUUGUUAGGUAUUAAGGAUGUAUAAGGAUUGAAUCAUCCUCUAUUCUAUAUUUUUUUUUUGUCGAUAAAAAAAAACUCUCUUAAUGUAACUCUUGUGACACUAAUGUCACUACAAGAAAAUCAUGAAAUAGAAACCAAUUUUUAGAGACCAAAAUAAUUAGUUGCAAUAGUAACUAAAUUAGAGACCAUUUUAGAAACUAAACAAAAUUUUGGUUUCUAAAUUAGUUUCUAUUAUUGUUAAAUAGUUUCUAAAUUGGUAUUUAAUUAGCAACCAAGGUUUUAGAAACUAAAUAAUUGGUAGUUAAAACCUUGGUUAUUGCUAAUUUGAUACCAAUUUAGAGAUUAUUUAACAAUAAUAUAAACUAAUUUAGAAACUAUUUUUUUUUAGUUUCUAAAAUGGUCUCUAAUUUAGUUACUGUUGCAAAAUUGGUUUCUAUUUCAUGAUUUUUUUAUUGUAGUGUGUAGAGUUAGCUCAAGAGGAUAAAGGAAGGAAUAAUAGAGUAAAAAAAAAAACUCUUAAAACACUUAAAGACAAAAUAUCAUUUAGUUACUAUAGUGACUACAUUGGAAACCAUUUUAGAAACUAAAAAAAAAUGGUUUCUAAAUUAAUUUAUAUUAUUGUUAAAUAGUUUCUAAAUUGAUAUUUAAUUAGUUAUCAAAGUUUUAACUACCAAUUAUUUAAAUUAUAAAUUUGGUAGUAAAAACCUUAGUUGCUAGUUAGAUACCAAUCUAUAAACAAAUUAACAAUAAUAUAAACUAAUUUAGAAACCAAAUUUUUUUUUAGUCUCUAAAAUGAUCUCUAAUCUAGUCACUAUACCAACUAAUUAUUUUUUGUCUUUAAAAUUGAUUUUUAUUUCAUGAUUUUCUUCCCAUAAUUUAAUAGAGUGUUUAAGAUAAGACAGUUUCAAGUAGAUGGUCUUCUGUAUUUUUCAAUAAACUAUCACAAUCUAGAGCCAAUACAUCACAACAUUGAAAUGUCGUUACUUCUAAUUGUUAUUGUUAAUGAUACAAUAUUAAUUUUUAUUUAUCUCCAUUUCUAACAGACCCUAAGAGUGAGACACCAGCCAGCGGCGACACUUACAUUCCAAGAGAUGAAAAAAUUGGUCACUUGAAGUCAUCAGACUUUCUUACAAAUGGAAUAAAGUCCUUGGCUCAAAAUGUCUUACCUCAAUUUCAAUCUGCAAUUGCUUUAGAUCCUGAGUUUGAUAACUUUAAUGACGUUCGUGGACUCUUCAAAGAUGGACUUCCUCUUCUUACAGACGCAAUCAGAACAAUUAGCCAAACACCAGUGAUAAAGGAAAUCUUCCAGAUUGAUGGUGAAAAAGUCAAGUUUCCACCACCUCAUGUCAUCCAAAGUAUUGUCUAUUUAUAUGUCACACCUAUAUAUAUAUAAAGUAAAAUAAGCUACUAGUGAUUGGCAUGGCAACAAGUAUUUUUUAUAUUUAACAUAUCUAGUUGUUUUCCAUAAAAUUUGGAGCAGAUGGUGAGUCAUGGAUGACUGAUGAAGAAUUUGGAAGAGAGAUGCUUGCUGGUGUUCAUCCUUGCCGAAUUCAGCGUCUUCAAGUAAAUAAUGCUUUGUUGUUUAUUAACUUGGAAUGAUUUGGUUUUCAUGUUGAAAUAUAUUCAUUGUUUAUCAUCUUAAUUUACUCACAAUGUUAUUUAAUGCAUCACAGGAGUUCCCUCCAACGAGCAAGCUAGAUGCUUCUGUGUAUGGUGAUCAAACUAGCAAAAUUACCAAAAAAAAUUUGCAGAUCAACCUUGGUAAACUCACCGUGGAAAAGGUGAAUGAUAUAUAUUAAUUCCAAAGCAAAAUAACACAUAAAUAUUCAUUUAACCAUGACGCUGAAUGAUUAUAAUGAUACUUGUUCAACAGGCAUUGAAAGAUAACCGAUUGUUCAUAUUAGAUUACCAUGAUGCAUUCUUACCAUUUCUGAGGAAGAUCAAUGGCCUACCCAACACAAAGUGUUAUGCCACAAGGACAAUCCUUUUCUUGAAAGAUGAUGGCACAUUGAAGCCAUUGGCUAUUGAAUUAAGUCUACCACAUGCUGAGGGAGAUAGGUGUGGUGCUAAUAGUAGAGUUAUCUUGCCUGCACACCAAGGCGCUGAAAGAACAAUUUGGCAAUUGUCCAAGGCUUAUGUUGUUGUAAAUGACUCAUGUUAUCAUCAACUUGUGAGCCACUGGUACAUAUAAAUUCUUCCAUCAUGAAUGAACUAUCAAUUUUUUGAAUUUACUAAGUGGUUCUUAAUUUAUUUGGUUUCUGUAUCAUUUGAUAACAGGUUAAACACUCAUGCCAUAAUGGAGCCAUUUGUCAUAGCAACAAAUAGGCAUCUCAGUGUGCUCCACCCUAUUCAUAAACUUCUAUCACCACACUAUCGUGACACCAUGAAUGUUAAUGGAGUUGCACGACAAUCACUUAUCAACGCAGGUGGCCUUAUUGAGCAAUCCUUUUUGCCUGGAAAAUACGCUUUGGAAAUGUCUUCAGCAGCUUACAAGAAUUGGGUUUUCACUGAUCAAGCCCUUCCUGAAGAUCUCGUCAAGAGGUAAUGUUUAUACACAACUAGCUUUUAAUUAAUACUCUGUACUUUAGUCAACAACUCUCACUUGGAAUUUAUUUACAUAUAUACUAAUACAAUAUUUUAAUUUACAAUUUUUCUCCUGUUUGAGAUGUAAAUAAUAAAUGCUUUGUUUUCCUCCGUGAUUCAGAGGAAUGGCAGUUAAGGAUUCAUCAAAUCUCCUUCAACUUGUGAUAAAGGACUACCCUUAUGCUGUUGAUGGACUAAAGAUAUGGAGUGCUAUUCUGAAUUGGGUUACAAAGUAUGUCUCCUUCUACUAUUCAGAUAGAGUUGGGGAAGACAGAGAACUCGAGUCUUGGUGGAAGGAGGUAGUUAAGGAGGGUCACGGUGACUUGAAAGACAAGCCAUGGUGGCCAACAAAGUUGAACACUCGUCAAAAUCUGAUUCACAUUUGCAGCACUAUCAUAUGGAUUGCUUCAGCUCAACAUGCAGCUGUUAAUUUUGGACAAUACCCUUAUGGAGAUCACAUCCUAAACCGUCCAACUCUAACCAGAAGAUUGAUCCCAGACCCAGGAACCAAAGAAUAUAAUGAGCUGAGCACCAAUCAUGAAAAGGCUUAUCUGAAAACAAUUACAAAAAAACAUGAGGCCCUUGUGAACCUUUCAGUGAUAGCGAUAUUGUCAAGACAUGCUUCUGAUGAGGUCUAUCUUGGACAGAGGGACAAUCCAAAUUGGACUGAUGAUGAAAAGGUUCUUAAAGCCUUUAAACAUUUUGGAGGAGAACUGAAAAAAAUUGAGAAUGAGAUCUUAGAAAGGAACAACAAUUCAAGUCUCAGAAACCGUGUUAAGAUGCCCUACACUGUGCUUCUUCCUACCAGUGAGGAAGGUCUCACUUUCAGAGGAAUCCCCAACAGCAUCUCUAUUUAAGGAGUGUACGUGUGUGGUUUAAUGUUUGUCCAACUUUAUUGCUCAAUAUCAAAUAAUGAUGUUUGUUUGUAUCUGCAUAAUUGUCGGGUGUAUGCUUAAGUAAUGCAUGGGGAUGUUACGUGGUUCUCCAUUUAAUAAGAGUGGUAUCAUUUUCUGUU
rnacentral:lncRNA from 1 species